rnacentral:lncRNA from 1 species
AAUACUUUUCACUCAAUGUCACAAUCUUAACUCUAAGACUUGUUUUGGAACGAAGUAUGAUUGACUUCUUGAUUUAACCAUUUCUUCAAUUCUUGAUUCCUCUUCUUAGACAUACAAUUGUACUAAGACUCACUUAGAGGAUCAAUUGAGAUAUGGUUCUUAAUCAUUAAGACCUAUCAUAAAGCAUAAAAGGUACUCUCCCUUCUUCUUAGAAUGGAGAAACUUUUAUCUUUCUGCCUACUUGAUUCUUCUUAUUCGUUCUGCUAUUGAUUUAAACUUUUUCAAUCAAUUCAGAAUUACACUUAAUCUUGUAAGUAUAAUCAUAUUUACUAAACCUUUAGUAAAUCAUGACGAAUAUCUUUGUUACUCUUAUGGUGGACUUGAUCAACACGCAACUUUGUGUACUCGAUCUCCUAGUCCUUCACUUGACACUUUGUCAAUGAAUUAGUCUAAUUUCCAAAUAUGAAAUUUCUCAUUCAUCGUGCAACCAAGUUGCAUGAUUCCAAGUUUCUGUCCAAUUGAAACUUGGGCGAUGAGAAACUCUCCCUAUUUGGUAAAUUCUCGACUUUCCAUAAAUAACAUAAUAAGAACCAAAUCCAUUAUUGCUAAUAAUAGAAACAUUCAAACAUCAAUUUUUCAUAUACGCCAUUGCAAGGAUAAAUAAAUAAUAUAAAAUCAAAAUUUAUUUUAUUGCGGAAAAAAUUUGUCCUUACAAUGCAAUUCAUUGAAAAACUAUGCUAAUACAUCUUUCUUAGCAAUCUAAUUCUAACUCUAAGUAGUAGCUCAAGAAUCUAAUCUUCGAGAAAUGCGAUCGAAAUCCAUUCCUUCACGGUUAGAUUCUGCUCACUUCUUCCCUUAAGCUUCCUUUCUUUUCUUCGAUCCUACAAAACAUCAAUUGUAAUCUUAUCACAUUAUGUAUUAAGAAUCUAGAAUAGAAGCUUAAAAGAGUUAGUUAAUGGAUUUUACCUAUAUUAGAGCCAUACGUUUCGACUCUCCCAUCUCUUAGAUCUCUUAGGUAAAUGGGGCAGCUUCGUCUCCAAUGCCCUUUCUCUUGGCAAUAAAAGCAAAUUGACUCUUUUGGAACAUGACAUGGAACUACUUCAGACAUUGCCUUUCUCUUAUGAUCAAACUUUUCGAUCAUAGCAUGUCUUUCGUUGCCAUUGUCUAUAUCCAUAGAGGUCUUGAAGGCAGAUUCACCAAUCAACUUUGCUUUUCUAUUGCGCCAAACCAUUGCUGAUUCAGCAGCAAUAAGCAUAUAGGUGAGAUCUAUAAGGGUCACGUCGCGGUUCAUCAUAUAGUACUCUCUUACGAACUCACUAUAUGAGUUAGGAAGUGACUGAAGAACCCAAUCAACAGCCAUUUCCUCACAGACAACGGAUCCCAACAUUCUUAACCUAUCAAUGUGUGACUUCAUCCCUAGGACGUGUGCACACACCGACUUUCCUUCUUUAUGUUUACUUGCCAAAAGGGCUUGAGUGAUCUUGAACUUUUCAAGCCUUUGAACUUGUGGGUUAGGGAGAAUAAUUGGAGGAGGUGGAGGAAGUGAAGCAUGAUUUCUUGUUCCUCGAUCGAAUCGUGGAAUAUCAUCUUCAUGUGGAAUGCUUGUUCCACGGGAUUUGGGAAGACCAUAGUUGUCGAACUUUGACAUCUACAAAACGGGAGAAAACGAAUUCAAGUUAGUUGAUUGAUUGAGUCCUUAGUAAAUCACCCAAAUGAGAUACUAAGGCUAGGACCCAACACAAUAUUCUACAACUCGGGAGAGGGAUGCCGUAACCCUAAUUGCAGAAUAUUUGAAGGUAAGUGAAUGACGAUUCACUAAUUUCCACCAUGAAAAACGAAAAAGAAAUUUAAGUUUUAAAUCUAUGAAAACUCCUAGAUCCUUUGAGAUUCAUUGAACUUUCAAUGGCAUGUUUAAAUCUCGAUAUGCCCCUCUUGUUUGUGACUGGGAUGCCGAGGAUCACAAAGCGGGUGUGAAUAACCAUGCAAACUUACAUGGUGCCCUCACAUGUUACAGUCACCUAUUCGAUGUGCCGGUAAACCACACACGCUCCACCGAACUAUGACAAACAUUGAGUCACCCUUUGCUACCUUUGCUUAGAACCAUUUAGUGUGCCGGUUAACCACACACGCUCCACUAACGUCUUCGCAAGGGCACAAAGUGUAAUUUCAUGGAAUUGCAUCAAUUCACUUUUGCCUAAGUAACUAAGAUUGGGAAUUUGUAAAACAUUUAGUUACUUUAGUAAUUCAUUAUACUUAUAAUGGAAGGUUUCGUCCUAUCCUACCCGUUCGGCUAACGACCCUCCACUAGUCAAGAGUGCGGUGGGUAAGAGUGGAUACCCAUUCAAUCGCCAUUUUAUAGGCAAUUUCCUUAAACACCCCUUAUAGACCAGCUUCGUGAAUGAGGCCUACUAACGGUAAGACUGACUUUUACUCAUACAUAUAUAUAAUGUUAGACUUUUAAUGUUAUAUAUAGUAUAGGGUGUAUUUUAUACUUUUAAAAUACUAGGUGGUCUAAUUUAACAAUUAUACUUUUAAUUCAAUUAAAUUGUAAACCUAAACUUUUAUGGAUUUAUUAAACAUCUUUUAAUUAUACACCUUAAUUAAUUAAUAAAACCAUAAGGGUGUGAUUUGAACCUUUUCAAAACAAUACUAGGGUUUUAGAAUUUAACAUUCCUAAUUAAACUUUUAAUCAACUUUUAAAUUCCAAAACUUGAGGGCAAGUUUUGAAACAUUUCAAAACAUUAGGGUUUAGAAUUUAAAUAUACAUCAAAAUUAAACUAUUAAUCAAAAUUUAAAUUCCAAAACUUGAGGGCAAGUUUUGAAACCUUUUUCAAAACACUAGGGUUUCAACUAUUUAAAUUUCAAAACAAUAAAACUUUUUGGGUUCAAAUUUAAACUAUAAAACGUAAAAGGGAAAAUAUGAAACUUUUCAAAGCACAAGUAUCAAAUAACAAAUAAUCUAAAUUAACAUUUAAUCACAUAAUUAUCCAUAUUUGAUUUAUUUAAUGAUUUCUUGCAAAACAAUUUACCAAUUUAAUCAAAAUAAUUAAUCAAUUAUCACAUAAGGAAACAAAUAUUUUAUUAAUUGAUAAAUAUCUUCAAUUAGAUCAAGAAUAUAGUCAAAUAUAUCAUAAAAUCGGAUUUAUAUUGAUCUAAUAUGAUAAGGCAACUAUCCUUAAGCAAAAACAGCAAGAAAUCCCGAAGUUUGCUCCAUCUGACGAGUUGACUCGUCGAGUCAAGCAUGGACUCGUCGAGUCAGCAUGGACUCGGCGAGUUCAGCUAUGGACUCGGCGAGUCCAGCCUCCAGAAACCAAAAAAUCGAAUUUUUCAAACAUAUAAAGCAUCAAUACAAUAGAAACCAGUCUAGGCUCUGAUACCACUGAUGGGUUUUGGUCCUAAGAACAUCCUAUGUGCUCAUACAAACCCUAAUGCUUGGAUCUAGGUUUCUCUAUUGUACAUGCAAGUUAUCCAAGACUAUAAACCCUAAUUCUAGCAUUCAAGUAAUCAUAUUAACAUGAGAAUAGGUUUAAGAUGUUACCUUGAUUGUUAUGUAGCAAUAACAAUCCCAAAUCUCCUUGUAUUGACUUUAGAAAGCUUAGAGUCACAAUUGUCACUCCUCUAAUGGUUCACAAACACCAUAAGCAAGAGGAUGAAGAAGAGAGAGGAUGGAGGCUGCCUAAAAACGUCUACAAACCCUAGAGGAGUCUUGUCCACGUUUUUGGUCCUUUAGGGAUCUAUAUAUGGUGAGGCUAUUAGGGUUAUCUAACAAGGAAACCCUAAUUUGGAUGCUUAAGCCCUAAGCAACCCAUAGACUCCUUUAAUUAAGGCCUUGGACGAUUUCCUUAUGGGUUUCCCCAUAGAAUUCGUCCACCCCUUAAUACAAGGCAAUCCAUGGCCCAAAUUGCAAUUAUCUUAUAAUUACAAUUCCAGUCCCUUAAGUUUAAUUAAUCUCUUUUAGUCACAAAACUAAUUACCAAUUAAUUAUCGACUAAUAUUAAUUAAACAAUAUGAUUUCUCCUUUAAUAUAUUAUUCCCAUAAUAUAUUAAUAAAUCAUAUUUAAUCCUUUCUCUCCAUAAUUCAUCCUAUCAAGUUGCUUUGGUGAAGACAACCCAAAAGGACCAUGCACCAUCGGGUCAAGUACGUACGAAAAUAGUUAUGGACUUAGACACUAAUCCAACACUAUGUGGUCCCGUUCCUUGUAUAAUUUGCAUGCAUAAUGUAACCAACGGUGUUGAUAAAGGUUCCUAGUAUUGUAGAGGCUGGUGAGUUGAGAUUUCCUAGGAGAGUCUAGGAAAUGCCCUAGUAGGAGAUGUAAGUUGGUUAGCAUAGGGACUGUAUGUUUAUGGAUUAGUAGGGUGACUUAAAGGAUUCAUGAUGGUUCUUGAGGGAAGUACGGAUAGGUGUGGAAGUUAGUAUUUGGACCGUACUACUGAAAGCACAUGAUCUAUACUCGAUUCAAGGAUGGUCUUGGAGGCUCUAAGGAGCAUGCAUAUUGGGAGUUCCCUCGAGCUUAUUAUGAUUGUUUGUAUGUUGUAUUUUAGUAUGGCGACCACUCGAAGAGGAGCUUCUGGUUCUGGUUCUGGUGCAUAACUGAUUGGUGAGCGGUUGCAUGAGUUUAUCACGUCGGAGAUUACUCGUGGUAUUAUGGAGGUUACCCUUGUGAUUUUUCGUACCAUCAAGAGGGCAUUAUGGAGCUUUUGGAUGAGAGUAUCGGGGCCUUUCGAGCUGAGAUCAUGGUAGGACAGUUAGGAGCGCAGACUCCCUCUUUUCGGGAGUUCAAGGCCUGUGGAGCUCCGGAGUUCUUUGGGGCUAAUGACCUUAUUGAUAGCCACCGAUGGAUCUCUAAUGCUCAAAGAAAGAACUUCUGCCAUAAGGAGGCGAAGGUGGGGUUUGCAUCCUGCCUUUUGAGGGACCGACACCGUGAUUGGUGAGAGGAGGUUGGUUAUACGUUGGGAUCUACAGAUGUGGUGGCCAUGACUUGGGAGGGUUUUGUGACUAGAUUCCAGGAGGAGUUUGCACUGGCUAUUGAUGUGCAACAGAUGGCGAGGGAGUUCCAAGACCUUUUCCAGAUUACUGAGAGUGUGGCAGAGAUCACCGCCAAAUUCCAAGAGAGGGCUUUGUUGGUUCCGCAGUAUGUUGCAGAUGAGGAGAUGAAGAAAACGAGAUAUCAUGACAUGUUGAGAGAUGACAUCAGUGAGUUUGUUUGAUAUUUAGUGUGCAAGACCCCAAAUGACAUGAUUGCUAGAGCACGAGAAUAGGAGAUGAGCUGGAGCUUUAGGCGAAGUGCUAGGCAAAGCAGGUGCAAACAACGGUGGCCAGGAGAAAAGGCCAGGGGUUUCUGAUUCGCAUCCUAGAGGCCAACAGGGUAGGAGCCGUUGUGGCAAGUGCGACAAGCCGCACAGUAGGACAUGUUGAGCAGCGGGAUCAGGUUGUUUUAGAUUUGGGCAUACUGGACAUAAGAGUAGGGAUUUACCUCGAGGCGCACUGAUUUGAUUUCAUUGCAAUCAGACUGGCCAUAAAAAGGCCGAUUGUCUGAGCCUAACGGGAGGAGCAGUGGCUGCGUAUUAAACCAUUGUCGUGCACAAUAUUAGCAAAUAGUAUUUUCACUGCUUGGUUGCACUAAAUGAAAGCACAGGGAAGCAGGGUUGAACCGUCAGGGACAUAACCAAACAAUCAAUGACUUAUUGCAUAAGGAAAAUAAUAGUGAUUUAAACAUCAUAUAUGAAAAAGGGGGAUUUUUAAUUAAUAACUAAACUAAAUAGCAGUGAAAAUAAACUAAACAAAUUCAAUAAAAAAAAAAUUCAACUCUGCUGCGACUUACAUAAUCAUGCAAACAACCCAAAUUUGGUUAUUCAGAAUGUGUUCCAUCUAAGUUGGUACUGAGAAAAACAAAGAAGCUCUAGUAUAAGGCCGGGCGGUAUGGUGAGCGGGGAAGGCCACAGGAAACGUCCCGCAUGGAGAAACACCGCACCGGGGGUGCGGGAAAGGAAACGCGGGAAAGAGAUGGGGGGAGGGAGUCCCACACACUCUCUCUGUUCAUUUGAUUGGGUGUUUAUUUUAUUUUUCUUUUUUUUAUUCAAAACGGCUAUAUAGCCGUUAUAUAUAUAUAUAUAUAUANNNNNNNNNNNUAUAUAUAUAUAUAUAUAUAUAUAUAUAUGUAUAUAUAUGUAUAUAUAUUCUUUCCCUUUUCUUAAACUAUAAAUACCACAAUAUCCAAUCAUUUUUUAACCCAUACCUUAUACUUCUCUCCAAAAAAUAUUAUUCAAAAUGUCAUCAUCUUCAUCAUCCGAUUCGACGGCUGUAGAGGAGACUAAGUUUAUUGGUUCUGUCAUGGCGAAAACGGUUGCAUACUAUCAAAAUCUACUAGGCGAAACAUCACAUGCACGAUCUAAGCUAAGAAAGCCGCGGUUGCAUAGAAAUCACGAAGCCGUACACGAUCACCUUAUAGAAGAUUAUUUUGUAGAUGACGCCAUCUACGCUGUAAAGUUUCGACGUCGGUUCUCGAUGAGGAAGGAACUAUUCUUACGUAUUGUUGGCGAUUUGGAAGGCCUCUUUCCAUAUUUCCAAUGGAAAAUGGAUGCAAGGCGGGUAAAAGGUUUCUCUCCCGUUCAAAAAUGCACGACUGCAUUUCGUCAGCUAGCAUACGGCAUGGGCACAGAUAAAUGGGACGAGUAUUUUAGGAUGUCAGAGCAUACCGUGCGGGAGUUCUGCAAAGCGAUAUGUUUGGUUUAUGGGGUAACGAUAUUUGCGCAAACCAACUAUCAACGAUGUCCACCAAUUGUACACGGCGCAUGAAGGCAAACAUGGAUUCUCUGGAAUGCUAGGUAGUAUCGAUUGCAUGCAUUGGAGUUGGUCAUUAUGCCCCAACGCAUGGCAUGGUUAGUACAUGAGAGGCGGCCACAAAGAGUCGACGACAUUCUAGAGGCUAUCGCAUCACAUGAUCUUUGGAUAUGGCAUGCAUUCUUUGGUCCAAAUGGUGCAAACAAUGACAUCAAUGUGCUAGACCAGUCGUCGGUAUUCAACGAUAUCUACCUUGGAAAGUCGCACGAUGUACCUUUUCAAGCAAAUGGGGUAGCAUAUAAGCGUGGAUACUAUCUUACUGACGGUAUAUAUCCUCCCUUGUCUGUUUUUGUGAAAUCGUUUACAUGUCCUAACGACCAGAAAAGGAAAAAGUUUAAAGAGGCGCAAGAGUCAGCUAGGAAGGAUGUGGAGCGAACAUUUGGUGUACUUAAGAGACGUUGGCAAGUAAUAACAGUCGGGGCAAGGUCAUAUGAGGUGAAAAGGUUACAACACGUAAUGUAUACAUGUAUCAUAUUGUAUAAUAUGAUUCUUGAAGACGAAGGAUGAGCGAUAUGCCGAUACAACGAAAAUGAAGUUUUGCCAAAUGUCGAAGGAGUAGCCGUUGGUACACAAGAGUAUAGGGUGAAUAGAAGAGAAGUACACAAUCGCGAAAUUCAUCACGCCCUUCGUGCUGAUUCGGUGGAGCACAUUUAUAGGUCUCAUAUUCAGCCCCCGUUAGAGUUUCCUCACGAGGAUUUGUUUGACGAAUCAGACAAGGAUUCUGAUAUGUUCGUCGAGAGUGAAGAUUCCGACGACGAGAGUGACGUUGUGGAGAAUGAUGAAGACGGUCAAGGCGAUGACGAGGACGAUGAGGGCGAUGACGAACACUAUGAUUCUGAGUGACGUAUUUUGGUUUAUAUAAAAUUAGGAUAUUAAUUAUUUUUCUACUUAUUUAAAUAUUAGAUUUAAUGUAAUUUUUAUUUUAAUUAAUGAAAUGAUUUUUAUUUUUAAUUAAAUUUUAUGUUUAGUAUUAAUUUGAAAGUUAUAAAUCAUAAAAAAAAUUAAUUUUAUUUAAUAAAAAAAAGUGAGGGAAUGGUUCCCACCCAUUCCUUGGGUUUUAGGUCAGAGAAAGAAAUGUGAGGGAAAUGAGGGUAUGACCAACAAAAAGUGAAAGAAGCUUCCCUCCCAUACCCUCCGGCCUAAUCUCUUUUACCUAGUUAAAUUAACAAAAACAAGCUUUUCAAUAACCCUAACUUUUUAUUGUCUGAUUAAACAAGCGCUUAAUUAAGAUCAUAAAAAUUGCAUUAAGAUCUUUGUAAAAUUCCCAACAAUACUUAAUACUUCUCACAACCUCAGCGUAAACAGUGGCGGAUCCUCACUAGGGAAGGGGGGCCAUGGCCCCGUGAUUUUUUUACUUAUUAAUACUUGUAUUAUAUAAAAGGAUAGGUUCAUCUUUUUUUACUAAUUUUAUGGCCCCUCCAGUUUUUGAUAUAUGACAUUGAAUUAUCAGCUCCAAAAUAACAACACAAAAAAUCAAGCUUAUUUGGUGAUAAAAAGAUUCUAUAUAAUUAACAGAUUAUCCGAAAAUCACUGAAAAAAUCACAACCAAAUCCUAAUUUUAAAAAGAUAAUAUCUUACUCUAUAAAUAAACCCCGAAAACUAUUAUAAUUUACAUUUUAUUAACACAAUGUUUCAGAAAAUAUGAAACGUAAAAACUUAAGAACAUUGUUGCCAUAAAAAUUGCUCACCGGAAAACACUCCCGGAGUCCUCGAAUAGGCCGGUCUUCUCACCAGAAAAUAUGCCGCCUAAUAGUGAGUGCUCAAUCACUCACUAUUUCUUCUUCGCCCUUCUUGCACUAUGUGUGCUAUGUCUCUCGUCUCCUGGCCGUGCCAUUCGAUGAACUACUAAUACCUCCGGUGUCUCCUCUUCACUUGUAAUGUGAUGACCUCUGUGCGUUUGGUCUUUCCGCUCUCUGUAUGAUUUGUAAGCUAUUUUCUUUUUCUUACACUUUCUAUCUUUUUAUUUUUCUGUAUCUUUCUUAAAUAAGAUUAUAACGUUGGAAUUUGAGAAGGAUAAGAGGCAAUUGAAUGUCUAAAAGCUGUAAAAGUAAGUUUAAAGGCUGCAACAAGUACUACACAUGUAUUUUCAUUUACUAUUUGUUAGUUUAUGAUUUUUUUUUUUUAAUUUAAAGAUUCCUACGGUAAUCAUAGGAAAUUAAUUUGGAAUUUAGUUUUGUUUAGCUGAAAAUAUAUAUAUUAAUUGUUAAAUAUUUUAUAAUUAUGAGUUAAUUUUGUAAUUUGUUAAAUGAAAGUUGACUAUAAUUAUAAAUUUCUUGUAAAAACUUCAAGUAAUGUUGAAGAAUAAUUUUACAAUAUUAAAAAAAAUUAAAAGAUAAUAUUCAUUUUGACGAUAGAUGUACGAUAUUUCANNNNNNNNNNNNNNNNNNNNNNNNNNNNNNNNNNNNNNNNNNNNNNNNNNNNNNNNNNNNNNNNNNNNNNNNNNNNUAUAUAUAUAUAUAUUAAAUUUUGAUAUAUAUUAACUUUUAAUAAUAUUACAUUUGUUUAUAUGAUUUUAGUUUGAAGUUUUAGAUUCGCCCCCCCUAGUCUGAAUGUUCAUGUUUCGCCCCUGGGCGUAAAGGUAUGAAAUUUCAGUUUAUAUCAUAGUUAAAUCCCUAACAUGGAACAAAUCUGAUACUUGUUACUUAUUAUCAGUUGACAAGAACAAUUACAAAUUCUAUUAACCGAUUAAUUGUAAUGGUUAAACCCUAGCUAUGUGAUCAAACUAACAAGAGUCAAAAUCAAACAUUCAUUAAGCUUAAAAUUAAAACAACCAGAUAGAAGCACAUAAUGAAAACCAAAUCUGAUAACUGAUCAUAUGAAGAGUACUAGUCUAUUGCAGAACUAAAAAUUAGGGUUUUAGCUAGACAUAGCUAAAAUCUGAUACAAACUAGUAAAAUGAAAUAUUAAACUAUUAAAUCUUACUAAACUAAUUGAGAGACACAAUCCACAGUCUUCAGAUCUUAAGAAAUCGCUGAAAUCAGAGAGAAUUUUCUUCAGAAAUCGUCUUUUCGUCGUCUGGAGCUUCAGGAAACGGCCAACCUUCAAUCUGAUCAGAGAGUCAUCCAAUAUAUAUAUAUAUAUAUAUAUAUAUAAUCUAGAGUCUUCAGGAGAAAGAAAUCAUAAAAUUACAUCGAAUUUUUGGUCAUUUGAUAGAAUUUUGCAUUUUGUUUUUGAUUUUCAGGACUUUUUUUUUCCACGACGUAUUUAUUCGAUCGAAUUUCAAGGCAAAAUUCGAUCGAAUUUUUGCAUUUUCUGAUUUUUUCACAAAGAAGAAAGUCGUUCGAAAGUUUGUCUAGUUUCUGGAACAUUUUAAAUCUUGUCAAUCAGAGUUACGAGUCAUGAGAUAUGGUCAAAAAUACUGACAUGGGGUCAAAGUUGCCAGCAACAUCCUUUAGGCUUUAGAAUGUAGCAAUUUAUAUUCGCUGGAUCAAUUCGAUCAAAAUUUUCUUGACCAAAACAGCUUCCAAGCAUUCCUCAGAAUCCUUCAUAAGUUCCAAGCUUCAUUUAACUUCAAUGCUCCAUCUAACACAUACAAAGUUGCUCCCAAAGUAUUGCUCCAUCCAAUUAUUCGAAAAUGACAUAAAAAUGCUAGUAGUAUGAGAAUUCUAACGAAUGACAUGAGCUAAACAUUAUUUAAACUAAUGACAUGCAAAUGUGUAAAAUAUGAUUCUAAAUGCUAAUAAAAGCUACCCUAAAUGAUGCAUAAAUUGACAUCUAUCAUUUCUCCCCAAGCUUGAACCUUACUUGUCCUCAAGUAAUAAAAAGAUUAAACAUUAUAACUGAAAUGGAAAGAUGUAGAUGACAUAAAAAGAACUUAGAAUACAAUGAAUGAAAUUAAAAACUUGAACUAAAAACACUUCACUUUUUUUUCUUCAUAUGAUCAGACUUAACACCAAGGAAAUCUCCAAUGGAAUCACUACCUAGACAAUCAUCACAAUACCUUCUAUCUUUCACAAAUUCCCAAAGUCAAGAAGAAGCUUGACGAUGUGAACCAAUAAAUCAAUUGUAAAUUUUAUUUCAACUUUAUACCUUAAUUAGCCUUGCAAGAGAAAAUAACACAUUUCAGAAUUUCAUGUCCUCAAGACUAGAUAAUUAAGAACAAGGAUAGACACAUCCAUAAGAACCCGUCACGUCAAAUAAGCUUUCGCUGAAGUAAUGGACCACACCCAUAGGGGUCCAACUCUUAUACUUUCACUUUUCUGAGAGAAACAAAUAUCAUAUCACACAGGUCUUCAUUCGCUCCAGAUUUGUCUUUGAGAUGACUUUUGAAUUGAUUGAACUUGAUUCUUUGUAUUUUUGCUUUCAGCUUUGAGUUCUUCAAUUAUUUUUUGUGAGUUUCUUGAGAUUUCUUCAAUUAAGUGCUUGAACUUUGACUUGGGUACACGAUAUGACUGUUAGUACCCUUCUUUUUUUUAAUUGUAUGGAUCUAAUAUAAGGGGUCUCUGUUACCGCGAAGGUAACACGUGUCAACAAAUAGGUCCGUGUUCUGUGGGUCCAUACUUGUCGAUCAAGGUUCUUUUUAAACAUUCCAAAGCAAAUAGUUCUAAAACUAUUAUUAUUGUCCACACAAUGUUUCGGUACACCAUUUUUAUUUUUAUUUUUUACAGCUAGCGUCUCAGAUCACGGUAUUUUGUGACUCCUAGAUAUGAGAACUAUUACUGCACUUACCACUAUUGAUCUGAUCGCUUCAGACUUUCGAUUUCCAUUUAUACAUAGCUAUCGAAUGCAAGAAUAUCAUCAUAUCAUGAAACUUUUUUUUUUAAUUUUUUUUCUAGAAUUUUUAUAUGUAUGCAGAAAAUAAAAAUGAAAACCUUUUUGGUUUUUUUAUGAAUGCAGAAAAAUAAAAACAUAAACAUAAAAUAUUUUUGGAUUUUUUUUCCAGAUUUUUUUUAAUACAAAUGCAAUGCAGAAUGCAAAAAGGAAUACAGAAAAACUAAAAAAUUUGAAAUUUGAAAUUUUUAACAAAAAAUGCAAAUUUUCACACUAACCCCCUCCCAAACUUACAAUGAUGCAUUGUCCUCAAUGAUUAGAGACGAAUGAACAACUAAAUAAAACAUGUAAAAGUAAAGGUUGCGGCCAGGAAAUAAUGUAUAUGAUAAGGUUUCAUAAAAUUUGAUUUAACGAAGAUGGUGGCGAAAAUUUGAAUGUCAGCAACUUUGAAGAUCAUCUGAUUUCCCCAAGGUUGCUUGGAACUGCGACUAUCUCUUUAUUGAAAGCAGAAAAAUAAACUAAAUCUACGUGGGUUGCCUCCCGUAAAGUCGUCCAUUUUUAGAGUCGUUGGCUCGACUUUGCCCGACCAGAUGUUUAACUGGUGUGGUUUUGGAAUUUUAUGAAGUUCAACUCUCUUCUUCCUCACUAUAGAUACCUUCAAAUGUGGCAUAAUGAAUGAAUCUGGUGGUUGUACAACAAACUGUAAAUACUUCAGAUUUUUAUCAUAUAAGUUUUCUUCAGAUUUUUGAUUCUCUUUCUUUUUCUGAUUCUCUUUCCGAAAAUCUUCUUCCUUUUUUUUUCUUUUUCAGCUUCUUAUCAGAAAUCACCAUUUUCUCAGCAGAAAUCAUCUUCUCAUCCUCAUCAAGUUUUCUUAUUUUCAUAUUCUUCUCAGUAUUCAUCAUCUCCUGUUCUCUUUUCAAAAGUUUAUUUUUUUUUUCCAGUUUUUUGUCUGUUUUUUCUUUUGCAGAAAUCAACUUCUCCUCCUCCCCAAGCUUAUCUGCUUCUGUCAACUUCGUAUCAUUACCUUUAGCAAAAAUCAUAUCUAAUUCCACACCCCCAAGCUUAUUUCGUUUCAGCUCCUUUGAUGCAUCAUCAGAUAAUCAUCUGUCUACAAAUAUUUCUUGCACAAAAACAUUAGAAAACUCAUAGCAGUCCUUAGAUAAAGGACUGCUGGUACCCAAACAAUUAACAUAAACUUUAUAAAAAAUAAAAUCAACAUCAUUCAUUUUAAAAUUGAUCACAUCCCCAUCAAAUUCCAUUGAAAGUGUACCAGUAAAAACAUCAAUCCUUGUUUUGGUAGUUUUCAGAAAAGGUCUUCCCAAAAUGAUUGAGUUUUUAUUUGAUACGUCUAAAAUCGCCCAUGUCUAGAAUAUAAAAAUCAGCGGGAAAAAUAAGCUCACCCACUUGGUCAUGAACAUCCUCCAAUACACAUUUUGGGUGUACUGUUGUACGAUCUGCAAACUGAAUAAGUGUUCCGGUCUUUUGUAAAGAUCCUAAUUUUAAUUUUUCAAAAACUGAUAGUGGGAGGACAUUGACUGAAGUACCUAAGUCUAGCAUGAAUUUUCGAAAAGUAAGGUUUCCUAACUUACAAGGAAUCAAGAAAAUUCUCGGAUCCUUACACUUUGGGGGCAUACCUUUUUGCAAAAUCGAAGAAAUAUUUUCGCCAACUUUGACUAUUUCGUUUAUUUUCAGCCUUUUCUUUGAAAUACAUAAAUCUUUCAGAAGCUAGGUAUAACAACAAAUUUGUUUAAUUAUAUCUUAAAGUGGGAUAUUUACGUCCACGUUAUGAAAGGUUUCCAUGAUAUCCCCGUCUUCAUGCUCACGCUUCGUGAUUCUUAGUCGUGAUGGGAAAGGUGGCACCAACUUGUAGUCUUUCAGAUUUAACUUGUUUUGCUUGGGAGGCUUUUUUUCUUCCAGCUUUUCAGCUUCUCUUUCACCCAAAACUUAUUCAGAUUCUUUUUCAAAUUCUUUUUCUGCUUUAGACACGCUUGGGCCUUGUAACAGCCCGGAAUUUCAGGUAUUUCUUUAAAUUAUUUUUGGGGCACAUUUAGGAGGGGACUCGGCGAGUUGGUGCACGACUUGCCGAGUAGGGCCAUGGUCUUGGUCGCAGACGCGCGACUGGACUCGACGAGUCCAAUAAGGGACUCGGCGAGUCGACGCUGUUCAGCUGAACCCUAGCCGUUUCAAUUCUGAACCGUAUAUAAUGAUAUUAUGGCCGUCAUGUCGUGUCUUUUGGCCGAUUGAAGAUCCCCUGGGAGUGUGUGAGCAUCUGAAGCAAGAGAGAGGACUUGAGAAGGCUUGAAGAGAUUGUUAGACAAGGAGGAGCAAGGUGGUGAUCAAAGGAAUUGAGUGUUGGAGGUUUGGAGACACAGGAAACACGUUUCCAGGUAAUUUUCGGAUUGAAAUCUGUAACUUUUACGUUGUAUGCGAGUUAGGGUUUAGGAAACCCAAUUAAGGGUUAGUUAGAUUAUAUUGUUGUUAUAAGUGUUUAAAAACCCUUGUAAUAGUAUAUGUGAAAGUCCAGGAAGCCCUAUAUCUAUAUACUUCGAAAUCAUGCGAAAUACAGGAGGCAGCGGAUUGACUGCAUGGCGGGGACUCGCCGAGUCCAAUGAUCAGACUCGGCGAGUAGCUUGAAGAUUCACUAGAACUCGCCGAGUUGUUCUUCAGACUCGGCGAGUAGCUUGAAGGUUCACUAGGACUCGUCGAGUUGUUCUUCAGACUCGGCGAGUAGCUUGAAGAUCUACUGGAACUCGUCGAGUCGUUCUUCAGACUCGGCGAGUGGUGUCAGGAUGUCUAUACUCGUCGAGUUACCCUUUGCACUCGACGAGUCCGGUCAAAAUUGACCGUUGACCUGCAUAUAUCUUAGAGGGGUCAGUUGUCUUGUUUGAUAAGAUCAUUAACUAAGGCUGUGGUAUUAUAGGGAACCUGCGGACUAGCGGAUUGUGUGCGAGUAGCUCGAAGAGGUUAUAGCCUGCGUACUACGAGGUGAGUCUUCUCACUAUACUUCACCCGGAAGGGUUUGACUGUUAGACCGGAAGGUCGUGUGUGUUAUAUUCAUGCUAUGUCUAGAGAGAUAGAUGCUUUAUAUGCGAUGUGUGCUUAUAUGUGAUGUAUGCUUAUACGGGCCGGAAGGCGAGACUUUAUGUGAUAGAAAGAACGGUAUGAUGUAUGAUUUAUGUGUUAUGAGUUUUAUGUUACAUGUGUUAUGUUUUAUACUAUCAUGGGCCGGAAGGCAAAAUGCUAUGGGCCGGAAGGCAAUCUAAUACGGGCCGGAAGGCGAUAUAUAUUGUGGACCGAAAGGUCCGGGCCGGAAGGCAAUGUUAUGUGGACCGAAAGGUCCGGGCCGGAAGGCGUAUGUGGGUAAGUCGUAUACUGGGGAACUCACUAAGCAUUUAUGCUUACUAGUUGUGUUUAUGUUUUUCAGGUACUAGUGAUGACCGUGGGAAGGCGCCGGCGUGACACGUACACACUGCCACUGUUGGAGAUCCUGGAGAUUUAUUAUUUUUAUUUUGAAAUAAACUUGGAAUAAACCCUUUUGUCGAAUAAUGAUGUUUUAUUUUUAACGAAAAAUUUAUUUGAAAAUUUGAGCUGUUACAAUUGGUAUCAGAGCCUUGGUUUGAGGGAUUCGGGUGUACUUUUGGGUGCAACUGAACUCAGACCGGGGAUUUGAGGAAAAACUUUUUCUUAAAAAUAAUAAGGACAUAACAUUUUAUAAAGGGCAAGGCGGUAAAAACAAGGGUGGAACAGUGUGUACGAGCAGCCAGCGUCCGAACGGUAAAGAUCCCCAGAAUACCUUACGAUGUUAUGUUAUGCACUGAAUUAUGAAUUGUUAUGCAUGCUAGAAGACUAGGUAUACAUGAUAGGAAUAGAAUUGCCUGUUUUGUGAUGCCUUAGUCUAGGGAGAUUGCUUAUAUGAGAUAUUUGGUAGCGUGCAAGUAAAUAGUGCAUACUAGAAGUAGAGUACUCGUUAUUCGGGAUUUGGGGAGGAAGAUUUGGGACGAAUACUGAUACGGUGUGGUCGGUAGUAUUGGGCCCGUACUAUCGAAGGCACCGGAUCAGUGGAAGACUCAAAUAAGAAUCCCUGGAAAUCGGAGACUGGGUAGGGCGCGUAUCGAGUACAAUUGUACUUGGUGGAGUCUCUGAUGAUUUUAUGUUGUAUUUCAGAGACAUCAUGGUUAUCACACGCAAUGGGGCGAGUUCGAGCGGUGCGAGUGACGAGGAGAUUCGUCAGAUUAUUCAGGAAGAGGUAGCUGCGGCGGUCCGGGCUGAGAUCCCGGAGAUGUUUGGGUCUAUUAAGACCACGUUGAUGGAGGAGUUUGAGGAGCGGUGCGCCGCAAUUUCUGAAGCUGCAGUUGCUGCCGCUACCGCAGCGGUGGCUGCUGCCAGGCCGCAAGGGGGUGAUUCAUUACUAUUCAGGGAAUUCAGCAACACGAAACCCCCUGAAUUUGAUGGGACGCAGGAUCCGAUUGCAGCUAUGAGGUGGAUCGCCGACAUCGAGGGGUGCUUCUAUACUUGCUCAUGCCCGGAGCACUUGAGGGUACGGUUCGCCUUGAACCAGCUCCGUCUGGGAGCGAAGGAUUGGUGGAAGUUCGUGACGGCGAACUUCACUCAGGCAGAGAUUACGGCGGUGACAUGGGAGAGGUUUACAGAGAUGUUCAGGGAUGAGUACGUUCCCCCGGUAGAGAGGGAGCGAUUGAUUCAGGAGUUCUUGACCCUUAAGCAGGGUACUGAUUCCGUGGCAGUGAUCACACGGAAGUUUCAUGAGAGGGCAAUGUUCUGCCCCGAGCUGGUAUCUACGGAGCAGUCGCGGAUGAGCCGCUAUUUGGGUGUUUUGAAGAGGGAGAUUCGGGAGUUUGUGUCAAACUCCACCUAUCGUACUUUCACUGAGCUUCAGGCGAACGCCAGGAAGCGCGAGAUUGAGUUGGAGACUCAAGCGAGGGAGGAGGCUGAGUCUCGGCAGGUGGAUCGACGGCCGGCCCAGUCUCAGCCGGCAGCCAAGCGGAUUAAGUUCGCUGAUUCGAGGAUGGGAGGUUCGAAGGGUCGCACUUGCGCGAAGUGCGGCAAGAGUCACGAGGGGGCGUGUCGAGCUAGUGGUUGCUACAAGUGUGGCAAGGACGGACAUAUUGCCAGGGAUUGCCCUAAGGGGUUUAUGGUUUGCUUUCACUGCAACCAGACAGGCCAUCGGAAGGCCGAGUGCCCGCAACUUCGUCAGGGAGCUACACCUACUACCCGGACUACUGAGACCCGACCGGUGAAGGUCGAGGCCCCGAGGGCUCGCGGGAGAGCCUUUCAGCUGACUGCGGAGGAGGUCCGCGCUGCGCCCGAUGUUGUGGCAGGUAUGUUAUCUUUCAUGUAUUUAAUUAAAGGUCGAAAUGUUAUGCUUAUGUUAAUAUAUGUGUAGGUACUUUCCUUGUGAACUCUAUGCCUGCUCUAGUAUUAUUUGAUUCGGGUGCGAGUAGAUCGUUUGUAUCGUUAGCUUUUAGUCAGCACAUCGGCAUUAGUCGUGAGCCGUUAAGUCGGCCUUUGAGCGUUUCCAUUGCGGCUGAGAGGGUGAUUUGUGCUACGGAGGUUUUUCGGGGAUGUGUGCUAGAGAUCUUCGGGGUCGCAUUUCCGAUUGACCUAAUUCCUAUUGCGAUGGGUGAUGUCUGUGUCAUUGUAGGCAUGGACUGGUUGAGCCGAUUCAGCGCUGUCAUCGACUGCGAGCGUCAGUUGGUGACUAUACGAGACCCUAGUGGGGGAGUUCUUACGGUGUACGGCGAGGGUACCCGUUCGAGAUCAGCUUUUUGUUCGGCUGCUAGGGCGAGGCAAUGCCUACAGCGGGGAUGUAACGGUUUUGUGGCGUAUGUGAUGGAUACGCGGGAGAGUUCCGAGAGACCGAAGACAUUGCAGGAGGUUCCAGUGGUGCGCGAGUUUCCAGAUGUUUUCCCCGAGGAUUUGCCGGGAAUACCUCCUGCGAGGCAAGUGGAGUUUGGUAUCGACCUAGUUCCAGGGGCGGCGCCUAUUGCGAAGGUGCCUUAUCGUCUUGCACCUCCAGAGAUGCAAGAAUUGUCCUCGCAACUUCAAGAGUUGUUGGGGAAGGGAUUUAUUCGGCCGAGUAGCUCGCCGUGGGGAGCACCGAUUCUGUUCGUCAAGAAGAAGGAUGGUUCACACCGGAUGUGUAUCGAUUACCGGGAACUGAACAAGGUGACAGUUAAGAACCGCUAUCCGUUACCAAGAAUCGAUGAUCUAUUCGAUCAGUUGCAAGGGGCAUCUUGGUUUUCCAAGAUUGAUUUGAGAUCAGGGUACCAUCAGGUAAGGGUGCGGGAUGAGGACGUCCAGAAGACAGCCUUUAGGACGCGGUAUGGGCAUUACGAGUUCGUGGUGAUGCCUUUUGGGCUCACCAAUGCCCCAGCAGUGUUCAUGGAUCUCAUGAACAGGGUAUGCAGGCCGAUGCUGGAUCGGUCUGUGAUUGUAUUCAUCGACGACAUUCUGGUGUAUUCGCGGUCUAGGGAGCAGCAUGAGGGACAUUUGAGGGAGGUCCUUGAGGUACUGAGGUCGGAGAAGCUAUAUGCAAAAUUCUCCAAAUGUGACUUCUGGUUACGGGAGGUUCAAUUUCUGGGGCACGUUGUAAAUCAGGCAGGGAUAUUGGUCGAUCCGGCCAAGGUGGAGGCGGUGAUGAGAUGGGAGGCACCAAAGUCACCUUCGGAGAUCAGGAGUUUCCUUGGGUUGGCAGGGUACUAUCGAAGGUUCAUUAGGGACUUCUCCAAGAUCGCAGUGCCACUUACCAAAUUGACCCGAAAGGGUGUUACAUUCUCAUGGGGACCCGAGCAGCAGACUUCCUUCGAGACACUUCGUCAGAGACUGUGCGAAGCACCAGUAUUAGCCCUUCCUGAAGGGAUGGAGGACUUCGUCGUAUAUUGCGACGCAUCGAUUUCAGGACUGGGUGCAGUGUUGAUGCAGAGGGGCCAUGUGAUAGCCUAUGCAUCGAGGCAGCUGAAGCCUCACGAAGCGAGAUAUCCCACGCAUGACUUAGAGUUGGGGGCAGUAGUGUUCGCCCUCAAAAUUUGGCGUCACUACCUGUACGGGGUUCGUUGUACCAUAUACACGGACCAUAAGAGUUUGAAGUAUUUGAUGGAUCAACCCAACCUAAACAUGCGCCAGAGGAGAUGGUUAGACGUGGUUAAGGAUUAUGACUGUGAGAUCCUAUACCACCCAGGCAAGGCUAAUGUGGUAGCCGAUGCAUUGAGUCGUAGGGCGGAGGGUACUCCAUUGCGGGACGUAUGUUUGAGAUUGACGGUGGUGACUCCGGUAUUAGAUACUAUUCGUGGGGCACAGGCCGAGGUUGUGAAGUCUGGGAUGCAGAAACAGGAGCGGGUCGUCGGGUUAAUUUCAGAGUUCGUUACGGAUGGGCGGGGACUUCUGACAUUUCAGGGUCGGAUCUGGGUGCCAUUCGUGGGCGGUACGCGUGUCAUUUUGAUGGAGGAGGCACAUAGAUCGAAAUUCUCGAUCCAUCCCGGUGCUACGAAAAUGUAUCUGGAUUUGAAAAAGGAGUACUGGUGGCCUUGCAUGAAGAGAGACGUUGCGUGGUUCGUGGAGAGGUGUUUGACCUGCCGUAAAGUUAAGGCCGAGCACCAGAGACCGCACGGUAAGUUGCAACCCUUGGAGAUCCCUGAGUGGAAGUGGGAUCAGAUCACGAUGGAUUUCAUCACCAAAUUGCCGAAAACUGCCAGGGGAGUCGAUGCGAUUUGGGUGAUUGUGGAUAGACUAACAAAGAGUGCACAUUUCCUUGCCAUUAGUGAAAGUUCAUCAGCAGAGAAGUUGGCGGAGUUGUACGUGAGAGAGAUAGUAUCUCGGCAUGGAGUGCCGACCUCGAUUGUUUCGGACCGCGAUGUACGUUUCACUUCCAGGUUCUGGAAGAAAUUCCAUGAGGAGUUGGGUACUAAACUGCAUUUUAGUACCGCAUACCAUCCCCAGACCGACGGUCAAAGCGAGCGGACGAUCCAGACAUUGGAAGAUAUGCUUAGAGCGUGUGUGUUAGACUUCGGGGGUAGCUGGGAUGCGCAUCUGCCGCUGGCUGAGUUUUCCUACAACAACAGCCAUCAUUCGAGCAUUGGUAUGCCACCUUUUGAGUUGUUGUAUGGUAGGAGGUGUCGGACUCCCAUUUGCUGGGGAGAAGUGGGACAGAGAGUGAUGGGCAGUACAGAGAUCGUACUUCAAACGACUGAACAGAUCCAACGGGUGAGGCAGAGGUUAUUGACCGCCCAGAGCCGACAGAAGAGUUAUGCGGACAGACGCCGGUCCGAGCUCGAAUUCCAGGUCGGCGACUUCGUUCUCCUAAAGGUUUCUCCUUGGAAAGGGGUGAUUCGGUUCAGGAAGAGGGGCAAAUUGGGGCCCCGGUUCAUAGGUCCAUUUCGGGUAAUUGCAAGGGUAGGUCGGGUAGCUUAUCGGUUGGAGUUGCCAGCGGAGCUGAAUCAGAUUCACAAUACCUUCCACGUAUCACAGCUGAGGAAGUGUAUAGCCGAUGAGGCAGCAGUGGUUCCGUUAGAAGAUAUCCAGGUAGAUGCGAGUCUGAAUUACGCCGAGAGACCAGUAGCUAUCAGGGAUCGGAAGAUCAAGGUUCUACGGAACAAGGAAAUACCUCUGGUGUUGGUUCAGUGGCAACAUCGGAAGGGAUCGGAGAUGACUUGGGAGCCGGAAAGAGAAAUGCGGGAGCAACAUCCGGAGUUAUUCGCAGAAUGAGAGACUUCGAGGGCGAAGUCUAGUUCUAGUGGGGGAGAGUUGUAACAGCCCGGAAUUUCAGGUAUUUCUUUAAAUUAUUUUUGGGGCACAUUUAGGAGGGGACUCGGCGAGUUGGUGCACGACUCGCCGAGUAGGGCCAUGGUCUUGGUCGCAGACGCGCGACUGGACUCGACGAGUCCAAUAAGGGACUCGGCGAGUCGACGCCGUUCAGCUGAACCCUAGCCGUUUCAUUUCUGAUCGUAUAUAACGAUCUUAUGGCCGUCAUGUCGCGUCUUUUGGCCGGUUGAAGAUCCCCUGGGAGUGUGUGAGCAUCUGAAGCAAGAGAGAGGACUUGAGAAGGCUUGAAGAGAUUGUUAGACAAGGAGGAGCAAGGUGGUGAUCAAAGGAAUCGAGUACUGGAGGUUUGGAGACACAGGGAACACGUUUCCAGGUAAUCUUCGGAUCGAAAUCUGUAACUUUUACGUUGUAUGCGAGUUUAGGGUUUAGGAAACCCAAUUAAGGGUUAGUUAGAUUAUAUUGUUGUUAUAAGUGUUAAAAAACCCCGUAAUAGUAUAUGUGAAAGUCCAGGAAGCCCUAUAUCUAUAUACUUCGAAAUCAUGCGAAAUACAGGAGGCAGCGGAUUGACUGCAUGGCGAGGACUCGCCGAGUCCAAUGAUCAGACUCGGCGAGUAGCUUGAAGAUUCACUAGAACUCGCCGAGUUGUUCUUCAGACUCGGCGAGUAGCUUGAAGGUUCACUAGGACUCGUCGAGUUGUUCUUCAGACUCGGCGAGUAGCUUGAAGAUCUACUGGAACUCGUCGAGUCGUUCUUCAGACUCGGCGAGUGGUGUCAGGAUGUCUAUACUCGUCGAGUUACCCUUUGCACUCGACGAGUCCGGUCAAGAUUGACCGUUGACCUGUAUAUAUCUUAGAGGGGUCAGUUGUCUUGUUUGAUAAGAUCAUUAACUAAGGCUGUGGUAUUAUAGGGAACCUGCGGACUAGCGGAUUGUGUGCGAGUAGCUCGAAGAGGUUAUAGCCUGCGUACUACGAGGUGAGUCUUCUCACUAUACUUCACCCGGAAGGGUUUGACUGUUAGACCGGAAGGUCGUGUGUGUUAUAUUCAUGCUAUGUCUAGAGAGGUAGAUGCUUUAUAUGUGAUGUGUGCUUAUAUGCGAUAUAUGUUAUGUGGAUCGAAAGAUCCGGGCCGGAAGGCAAUGUUAUGUGGACCGAAAGGUCCGGGCCGGAAGGCAAUAUUAUGUGGACCGAAAGGUCCGGGCCGGAAGGCGUAUGUGGGUAAGUCGUAUACUGGGGAACUCACUAAGCAUUUAUGCUUACUAGUUGUGUUUAUGUUUUUCAGGUACUAGUGACGACCGUGGGAAGGCGCCGGCAUGACACGUACACACUGCCACUGUUGGAGAUCCUGGAGAUUUAUUAUUUUUAUUUUGAAAUAAACUUGGAAUAAACCCUUUUGUCGAAUAAUGAUGUUUUAUUUUUAACGAAAAAUUUAAUUGAGAAUUUGAGCCGUUACAGGCCUUCAUUACUUUUUCCACUUCUCAAGGAAAUAUCACUCACGUUGUGCUUCAGAUUAUUUUUAAUGCCCCAAUAACUUCCCUUGAGAUUCCAUAUGACCCACAAAAAUGGCAAGUUGAGACACUUGCUAUUCCAGAUUCUUGAUACUUGCUCUGGUUUCAUUUUGAAAUGCAUGAGUGUUGGUGGCAAGGCUCUUCAUUAUAUCUUCCAAGGCCAUGCUGGAACUGCCAGAUUGUUGAUUGGAGUUCUGAUUAUGAAAACUCUACUGAUGUUGAUUAUGAUAAUUGGGCUGAUUCAGAAAGUUCUGCUAAGAAUUUGUAACGCCCGUAGAUCUAGGCUAGUCAAUUUAGAGGCAAUAAGGGUCGAAAAUGACUUUUCGGCAAAAGAUUAUUUAGAAUAAAUAAUCUUAACCAAGUUGUAGAAUAUGUCUAAAGGUUUCCGUUCAUAUAAAGAACGCUGAAAUCUGAGUUAUAACGAAGAAGUUAUGGCCCGUCGAAGUUUUACGGCAAAACCGACACGACACCGGGAAACGUAAAAUAAUGAAUUUACGAUAGAAGACUUUUUGGCCUUAUUAAUCUAAACCAAAGUUUUAGUAUACGUUAAACCUAGAGCGUCCAUAAAAAGAACGCCCAAAUCCGACUUCGUAUGAGGAAGUUAUGAUUUUUUGAAGUUUCGGCUUAGCACUGUACGACCCGAAACUCGAAUUUUAGUUCGAGCGGUUUUUGGCCUACGCGACCUAAAUGAGAGUUGAAUAUCUCAUUAAUAGGAACUCAACGGUAAAAAGACAGACGAAAACGGAGUUUGUAUGAAGGAGUUACGAAUUCUUUGCGGUCAUUAAUAGUCUAAUCUCCUCGUACUGUUAAAUUAAAGAUCGGUCGAGAAUUAGCGGACAAAGUCUAAAUAAAAGUUGUAGAUCUUGUUUUUAUCUAUGCGUGGAAAAAAAGAACGUCGAAAACAGAGCUUAUAUGCGAAAGUUAUGAAUUUUUGAAAAUCGGCUGAUUUCCACCCUAUGUGCAAUGCCACGUGUCAGCACCAGGCUAUGGUUGGCUGUAGCCAGUGUAACGCCCGCAUAUUCGGUCUAGUAAAUUUAGAGGAAAUAGGGGUCGAAAACGACUUUUCGACAAAAUAUUAUUUAGAAUAAAUAAUCUUAACCAAGUUGUAGAAUAUGUCACAAGGUUUUGCGUACAUAUAAAGAACGCCGAAAUCCGAGUUAUAACGAUAAAGUUAUGGCCCGUCGAUGUUUUACGGAAAAACCGGCACGACACCGGGAGACGUAAAAAUUCAAUUUAAGAUAGAGGACUUUUUAACCUUAGUGAUCUAAACCGAGGCUCCCGGAGUCCCGAGAAAAGAGCCUUUCGGCUUGGGAACGCUGCUCAAGCGAAGCCCAGUUUUCGAGAAAAACCCGCUGUAAGUGAGCUGUACCUAUCCUAUCUUUAGUAUAGCUUAUGUUUCAAUAUAAUAUUGUUAUUAGGACCUUAUAGGGAGUAUUUGAGCUAUUAUUAUGAGUUAUAUAAGUAUUGUUUAACGCUUAUAUAAUAGUAAUAAUAGCUAGACUAUUAAAUUAGUCUCGUCAAACGUUAGACUAAACUCUAGUGGUAAUGAUACUAGGUUUCGUCAAGGGAUAAUUGUUUUAAGAGUAACGAAGUGCUGUCCGAGUGUCGACUCACCACCUUAUCAGGUGAGUGCGUGGUCCCUUUCAUCUUACACAUAGAUAUGAAGUAUUUUACGUAAAUUACGUGCUAUGUGUGCAUAUUAUGUGAAUACUUGUUGUCUAUGCUGGAUGAAUGAUUUUAUACAUGUUUUAAAUGAUUUAAACUGUAUAUUUAUUUUAUAUCUACAAAUAUGUUGGGAUAAAACAUGGGUAGAUGAAAUAGUUGGUGUGUGAUGAAAUAAAAUAAUGAGAGAUAGGUGAUGAUAAUUAGGUGAGGAUAGAUAGGUGAUGAUGAAUCGGUGAUGUAGGAUACUACAACCUUGUCUGACAAUUUGGAGAUGUAGUCAUCUACCAGAGUAUAGAUGGCGACCACGGACUAUUAUAGACAACCCUGUGGAAACACCAGCAGGCUCAUAACCUGUAGGUGAUGAAUUAAGAGUUCAGGCGAUGUUGUAACUACGUAUUCAUGCGAUGAUACUCUAACCCCCUUAUUAUGAAUUACUAGUUCACGCGAUGUUGUAACUACAUAUUCAUGCGAUGAUACCCUAACCCUUGGUGGGCACGUAUUGAGGGAGUAAUCCCUGAAUCAAUAUUGUCUAGGCGAUGAUACUUAGGGAAAGUCCUUAGGAACAAACAUAAAAGGAGAUGCGAUGUAAGGAGAUGAGAGGUAAAAUAUGAUGUAGGAGACGACCUUUAGGAUAAAUCCUUAGGGAGGGUACUUAGGAAUAAAGAAGAUAAUGGGGAUGGGUAAUUGGGUUAAUUUUUUGAUGAUUGAACAUAAUAAUUAUAUUAUUGUGGGUUGAAAACCCUAUGUACUGUAACGCCCGUAGAUCCGGGCUAGUCAAUUUAGAGGCAAUAAGUGUCGAAAAUGACUUUUUGGCAAAAGAUUAUUUAUAAUAAAUAGUCUUAACCAAGUUGUAGAAUAUGUCUCAAGGUUUCCGUACAUAUAAAGAACGCCGAAAUCCGAGUUAUAACGAAGGAGUCAUGGCCCGUCGAAGUUUUACGGCAAAACCGGCACGAUACCGGGAAGCGUAAAUAGUGAAUUUACGAUAGAGCAAGAUUUAGCCUUAGCGACCUAAACGAAAGUCGUAGAAUAUGUUAAACCGAGAAAAUCCAUAAAAAGAACGCCCAAAUCUGACUUCGUAUGAAGAAGUUAUGAUUUUUCUAAGAUUCGGCUUAGCAGUGCACGACCCGAAACUUGAAUUUUAGUUCGAGCGGUUUUGGGCAUAGGCGACCUAAAUGAGAGUUGAAGAUCUCAUUAAUAGGAACUCAGCGGUAAAAAGAUGGACGAAAACGGAGUCCGUAUGAAGAAGUUACGAAUUCUUCGCGGUCAUUUAACAGUCUAAACACCUCCUAUUGUUAAAUUUGAGAUCGGUCGAGAAUUAGCCGACAUAGUCUAAAUGAAAGUUGUAGAUCUUGUUUUUACCUACGUGUGGAUAUAAAGAACGUCGAAAAAGGAGUUCGUAUGCGAAAGUGAUGAAUUUUUGAAAAUCGGCUGAUUUUCAUCCUGUGUGCGAUGCCACGUGUCAGCACCAGGCUGCGCCUGGCUGUAGCCAGCCUGGCUCACGACGUGAAAAUUUAAAAUUCACGACGUGAACCUUCCUCCAUCCCCUAUAAGUAAGUGGUGAGGCCUCCAUUCAUUCCUCACACCUCCCCUCACUUCCCUCUCUCUCUAGAACUUCUUUCUAGCCCCGAAACCCCUCGAAACACCUCGAAAAGCCUAGGGAACCUCCCUAGCGCGAGGCGGAAGCCCCGGAGUGCCCGAAGGCUCCGAGAAGAAGACCCUUUCGGCUCGGGAACGCUGCUCCAGCGGCGCCCGGUUUUGAGAAAAACCCGCUGUAAGUAAGCUACGCCUACGCUAUUUUUAAUAUAGCUUUUAUUUAAUUAUAGUAACGUUAUUAGGAACUUAUAAUAAAUACUUGGACUAUUAUUAUGGGUUAUAUAAGUAUUAUUUAAAGCUUAUAUAAUAGUAAUAAUAGCUAGACUAUUAAUUAGUCGUGGUUAUCGUUAGACUAAACCCAAGUGGUACUGGUACUAGGUUUUAUCGAAGGAAAAUUGUUUUGAGAGUAUCGAAGCGCUGAGUCACCAACUUUCAGGUGAGUGCAUAGUUACUUUCAGCUUACACAUAGAUAUGAAGUAUUUUAUAUAAAUUACGUGCUAUGUGUGCAUAUUAUCUGAAUACUUGCUAUCUAUGCUGGAUGAACAUUUUUAUACAUGUUUUCAAUGAUUUNNNNNNNNNNNNNNNNNNNNNNNNNNNNNNNNNNNNNNNNNNNNNNNNNNNNNNNNNNNNNNNNNNNNNNNNNNNNNNNNNNNNNNNNNNNNNNNNNNNNNNNNNNNNNNNNNNNNNNNNNNNNNNNNNNNNNNNNNNNNNNNNNNNNNNNNNNNNNNNNNNNNNNNNNNNNNNNNNNNNNNNNNNNNNNNNNNNNNNNNNNNNNNNNNNNNNNNNNNNNNNNNNNNNNNNNNNNNNNNNNNNNNNNNNNNNNNNNNNNNNNNNNNNNNNNNNNNNNNNNNNNNNNNNNNNNNNNNNNNNNNNNNNNNNNNNNNNNNNNNNNNNNNNNNNNNNNNNNNNNNNNNNNNNNNNNNNNNNNNNNNNNNNNNNNNNNNNNNNNNNNNNNNNNNNNNNNNNNNNNNNNNNNNNNNNNNNNNNNNNNNNNNNNNNNNNNNNNNNNNNNNNNNNNNNNNNNNNNNNNNNNNNNNNNNNNNNNNNNNNNNNNNNNNNNNNNNNNNNNNNNNNNNNNNNNNNNNNNNNNNNNNNNNNNNNNNNNNNNNNNNNNNNNNNNNNNNNNNNNNNNNNNNNNNNNNNNNNNNNNNNNNNNNNNNNNNNNNNNNNNNNNNNNNNNNNNNNNNNNNNNNNNNNNNNNNNNNNNNNNNNNNNNNNNNNNNNNNNNNNNNNNNNNNNNNNNNNNNNNNNNNNNNNNNNNNNNNNNNNNNNNNNNNNNNNNNNNNNNNNNNNNNNNNNNNNNNNNNNNNNNNNNNNNNNNNNNNNNNNNNNNNNNNNNNNNNNNNNNNNNNNNNNNNNNNNNNNNNNNNNNNNNNNNNNNNNNNNNNNNNNNNNNNNNNNNNNNNNNNNNNNNNNNNNNNNNNNNNNNNNNNNNNNNNNNNNNNNNNNNNNNNNNNNNNNNNNNNNNNNNNNNNNNNNNNNNNNNNNNNNNNNNNNNNNNNNNNNNNNNNNNNNNNNNNNNNNNNNNNNNNNNNNNNNNNNNNNNNNNNNNNNNNNNNNNNNNNNNNNNNNNNNNNNNNNNNNNNNNNNNNNNNNNNNNNNNNNNNNNNNNNNNNNNNNNNNNNNNNNNNNNNNNNNNNNNNNNNNNNNNNNNNNNNNNNNNNNNNNNNNNNNNNNNNNNNNNNNNNNNNNNNNNNNNNNNNNNNNNNNNNNNNNNNNNNNNNNNNNNNNNNNNNNNNNNNNNNNNNNNNNNNNNNNNNNNNNNNNNNNNNNNNNNNNNNNNNNNNNNNNNNNNNNNNNNNNNNNNNNNNNNNNNNNNNNNNNNNNNNNNNNNNNNNNNNNNNNNNNNNNNNNNNNNNNNNNNNNNNNNNNNNNNNNNNNNNNNNNNNNNNNNNNNNNNNNNNNNNNNNNNNNNNNNNNNNNNNNNNNNNNNNNNNNNNNNNNNNNNNNNNNNNNNNNNNNNNNNNNNNNNNNNNGGAUUUAGUACCUGUAGGAAUUGGUAGCUAUGGACUUAGUACCUGUUGAACAUUGGUAGCUAUGGACUUAGUACCUAUUAGAUAAAGACUGGUAGCUAUGGAUUUAGUACCCGAUGAAUAGACUAUAGCAGCUAUGGAAUUAGUGCUUUAUGAACGAACAUUGGCAGCUAUGGAUUUAGUGCCAGUCCCAUAACCCUGGAAGUAAGGGACUUCGGAAUAAACGAAUGCAGGAUAGAUGACUCUUAGGUUAAAUCCUUAAAGAGUAAAGAAGAUAAUGGGGAUGGGUAAUUGGGUUGAUUGUUUGAUUGAACAUAAUAAUUAUAUUAUUGUGGGUUGAAAACCCUAUGUACUCACCAGGUUUCCCAACCUGACCCACUCAGUUUAUGUAUAUCACAGGUGACGAAGUGAAGUGACAUUACACUGAGAGAUUUAAAAGAGAUGUAGAUCACUAGUGUAAAUCAUUGUAAGUUCUGUUUAUGCUUAUGUUUCGGUAUUAACGAUGACAUCCCAAACAUUUUAAAAUGAAAUAAAUACGUUUCUUCGAAAAUGUUUUAAUAACGUAUUUACCAUGUUUUUCUGGGAACAAAUUCCGCAACCUUUUUAUAAAAUGAAGUACUCUGAUUUUUAUAAAGCAUAAACAAAAUCGGUCUUUUCUGGCCGUGAUUUUGGGGAUGUCACAGUUGGUAUCAGAGCAUUAGUUUAAGCGAACUAGGAAUAUGGAUUUAUUUCUAGACUUAAACUUAGAAUGCUAAGCGAUGAUUGUGAGGUGUGAGCACUAGCUUAUUUUAGGAAUGAUGCCUAAAUUGCUUUUAUGUGCUAAAUGAUUUGUUAUGCUAUAGUUUGAUCGGAUCUAUGGUCUGUUGCCGACCGGAUCUGGAAACCUUAUGUGUUUAGGAUUCUAAACGUACGACUACGAUAUUAGAACUAGCAUGUAAACGUUUCGGAGUGAUAAGGAUGAUUUAAACGUCAAUCCUAAGUAAAGGUCUAGAUUCACCUCAUUAGGUGUAUAGAUCAAGAUGGUAAGAACCCGUAGUGGAAACGUAAAUGCAAAUGGGAACAGAAACCAACCCCCAGUGAUUGAGCAAAUACCGGUGAUGGAAGCCACUGCUGAGCCAGUCACAAUGGCCGGAGUGCAAGCGAUGAUCCAAGCGAUGUUGGAUCGUCAAAUGGAGGAAACCAGGCGUUUGCUCCAGCAAAAUCGAGAGGAAGCGACCAUUCAGAUCGAACGGCCCGAGUUGAACGAGGGGCAGACUGAGGAGGGAAACUACAGUGGGACUGUUGGUCAAGCCAACCCACCAAUGGUUAAGCAAAACCACCAGGAUGGAGGAAAUGAUGGACGUGGAUGCAAAUACAAGGAUUUCAUGGCGUCCAAACCACCGAGUCUAUCUGGAAGCCCGACGCCGGUGGAAGUCAUAAACUGGAUCUCCGAGAUGGAGACGAUGUUUGAGAGUUGCGAGUGUAGCAACAGGCAAAAGACCGCUCUCGCGGUUCCUUUGUUGAAAUCUGGAGUACUAAGCUGGUGGAAGCUACUAGCCGAUUCGAUGCCCAAAGGAGAAGCGAGCAAGAUGUCAUGGGAGGAUUUUCUGGUGCAGUUAAAAAUGCAGUACUACUCUGAGCAGGAUCUUCUGGAGAUCAACAACGAGUUUCAGAAUCUAAAGAAGGGAAAGAUGAGUGUCAUCGAGUAUGCUGCCAGUUUUACGGAGAAAAUGAAGCUUAUUCCUUAUCUAGUUCCAACUGAGCUCUCCAAGGUCAACAAGUUUGCCCAUGGAUUACCAGUAGACUUUGGACCAAUAGUCAAGCAAGUAACCACUUUGAAAGGAGACAUCUGGGCAUCCAGGAAUGUUGAGACCCAGAUUAGGGAAAAAGGUCUGGAGAGAGCUGAAGUUGGCGAGAAAAGGAAGCAUGAAGGAUCUUCAAAAUACAACAAAGAAAAGAAAUUCUCAAUGAAUGAAGAGGGAGGAGGAGGUGAAACCAAGUGGUGCGAGAAGUGUAAAAAGAAGCACUUCGGGAAAUGUGGCGAGGACGUGACUUGCUACAAAUGUGGAAAGACAGGGCAUUACGCCAACAAGUGUGCAUCCAACAAGAAGGUGUGUUAUGGAUGUAACAAAGAAGGGCAUAUUUAUAGGGACUGUCCGGGGAAAAAUAAAGCGGCUAGUCCAGAAACGCCACCGAGGCCAAGGGCAUUCCACAUGAUCCUCGACGAAGCAGAAAACCAUGCAAGGAAUCAAGGAUGAGGACUUCAUAUCUGAAGAUCAAGAUAUGCAGUAGCCAUAGUAUCAUAUGAUGUAGCCCAUUAGAGGCAUAGUCCAGGGUGAACUUGAACACCUAUGUAAUAGUUUCAAGAAAUAAUAAAAUCUUCAUUUUGUUAUCUGGUGUAUUAAAUUGUUAUGUGAUUUUCUUGUAUGAUGACUUGGAAAACUGCGAGACGAUACUUGGGACGAGUAUGAGUAGGUGUGAAUGGUAGUAGAGGCCUAUACUAUCGGAAACACAGGACUCACACUUGGAUCAGGGAAAGUCACAAUGUUACCAAGAAGCUAGUAAUUGAUUUCGUUUUAUUCAAGUAUGUCGUUACCAUUGUUUCGGUUAUGACUAAGAAAAUUGUUGUUAUCCCAACCCUAGUGGUCAUGUCACAUUGAGUUCGACUACGAUGAGUAGGUUACGUGGUUCAGAGAACUAAGUUUGAUGUAGCGUCCGACUUUAACCAAACAAUUGAAAUCAAAGCGACCAAUAGAAGUAUCGCGCUCGAUGCUAAAGAAGUUGGUAGCUAGAAAUGCUACAUGUUAAAGUGUGAUUAUAUCACAUUAGAACAUGAAGGAAGGCAUAGUCUGUUUUAGAAUUUAAUUCUAAGAGACCCGAGUCUAAACGUUCAUCACAUGAUGAUAGGUCAUUAUUUGGAUUCUAACCCGAGGUAGAGAGCAGGUGCACGAUCAAGUAUUGAUUACAGUCAAUAAGUCUAAGAGAUCGACUUGAAGGAAUAUAGAAGUUAUAAUUAUUACCUAGAAUGAAGGGAUGAUGUAUGGAGUCAUCAUACGACCCUGUUUCGUUGAUGAUUCCAAGAUGUAAUCAUCCUAAGAGGGAGAUAAUUGUAACGCCCGCAGAUCCGGGUUAGUUAAUUUAGAGGCAAUAGGGGUUGAAAACGACUUUUCGACAAUAGAUUAUUUAGAAUAAAUAAUCUUAACCAAGUUUUAGAAUAUGUCACAAGGUUUCCGUACAUAUAAAGAACGCCGAAAUCCGAGUUAUAACGAAGAAGUUAUGACGCGUCGAAGUUUCACGUCGGAACCGGCACGACACCAGGAAGCGUAAAUAGUAAAUGUACAAUAGAGUGAGAUUUAGCCUUAGCGCUCUAAACGAAAGUCAUAGAGUAUGUUAAACUAAGAACAUCGAUAAAAAGAACGCCCAAAUCUGACUUCGUAUGAGGAAGUUAUGAUUUUUCGAAGUUUCGGAUUAGCAGUGUACAACCCGAAAUUCGAAUAUUAGAUUGAGCGGUUUUUAGCCGACACGACCUGAACGAGAAUCGAAUAUCUCGUUAAGAGUAGCGUAAUGAGAAAAAGAUGGGCAAAAGCGGACAUCGGAUGAAGAAGUUAUGAGGAUUUAACGGACCAAUCAUGUCCCGGCCUGUUAAUAAUAUAAAAUUUAAAAUCGAGUCAAAAUUAGCCGACGAAGUCUAAACGAAAGUUGUAGAGUACGUUCCCGCCUUCGCGUGGAUAUAAAGAACGUCGAAAAAGGAGUUUGUACGCAAAAGUUACGAAUUUUUAAAGUUGGAAAGUGAAAUUGCGAAACUGAUGCAUGGACUGAUGACGUGCUUAAUCCUGACCGUCGCUUGCUGAUCACGGCUCGCUUCGUAUGGCCGACACGUGGUCCUCGCAUACGCCCCGCGUACCCUCGCCUUACCUCUUCCGAUGUUGCAAGCCAGCUGGUGCGAAGCUGGCACCCUUAUCUGAACUAAGGCCCAGCGUAAGGUCCGAAGUCUGGGCUAUAAAUAGAAGGCCGAGNAUAAAUAGAAGGUCGAGGCUGCCAUUCUGCUUCACUCCAAAACCUCUUCUUUCUCUCACUAAUUUCUCUCUCUACAACCCCAAACCCCCCCUAAACCCUAGAUAAACCCCUUAGCACCCGAUGGAAGCCCCGAGACUCCCAAAGUCCCGAGAAAAAGGAGUCUUUCGGUUUCGAAACGCUGCUCCAAUUAAGUUCCAGUUUUCGAUAAAAUUCGCUGUAAGUGAACUACGCUUACGCAACUUUUAAUAUAGAUUACAAAUAAUUAUAGUAAUGUUAUUAGGUCCUUAAAAUAAUUAUUUGGGCUAUUAUUAUGAGUUAUAUUGAGUGCUAUUAACGCUUAUAUAAUAAUAAUAAUAGCCAGACUAUUAAUUUGUCGUGGUUAUCGUUAGACUAAACCCUAGUGGUAUUGGUAUUAGGUUUUAUCGAAGGAAAUAAUUUUGAGAGUAUCGAAGCGCUGUCCGAGUGCUGAGUCACCACCUUUCAGGUGAGUGCAUGGUCCCCUUCAACUUACACAGAGAUAUGAAGUAUUUACUACGUGCUAUGUGUGCAUAUUGUCUGUUUACUUGCUGUCUAUGCUUGGUGAAAGAUUUUAUACAUGUUUUAAAUGAUUUAAACUAUAUAUGUAUUUUAUAUCUACGAAAAUGUUGGGGUAAAACAUGGGUAGAUAUAAUAGAUGAAAUAAGAGUUGGACGAUGAGUUGAGAGGUGAUAUAGACUAUGAGGUAUGGGUGAGAGGUGUACAAUGUGAGAAGCCUUUUUCCCAAACGAUGUCCCCGUCAUUCAGCAGAGUAUGGAUGACAACCACGGACUAUUCUAGAUAGUCCAGUGGAACACUAGCAGGCUCGCAACCUGUAGGUGUUGUGAACGAUGUGUUCACUCGGUGUACUCUAAACCUUGGUGAUCAUGCAGACUUGAUGCCUAGACCCUGGUGAUCAUGCAGACUUGGUGCCAAAACCCUGGUGGCUAUGCAGACUUAGUGCCUAUUGUAUAAAUUCUGGCGACUAUGCAGACUUAGUGCCUAAACCCCGGUGACGAUGGACUUCGUGCCGAUUCCUUAGGAUGAUCCUUAGGAAUGUAUGAACGAGGAAUGGUUGAUUCUUAGGGUAGAUCCUUAAGAAUAAAGAAGAUAAUGGGGAUGGGUAAUUGGGUUGAUUGUUUGAUUGUUUGAACAUAAUAAUUAUAUUACUGUGGGUUGAAAAUCCUAUGUACUCACCAGGUUUCCCAACCUGACCCACUCAGUUUAUUUAUAUCACUGGUGUUGAUAUGAAGUCACAUUACCCUGAGAGAUUUAAAGAGAUGUAGAUCACUAGUGUAAAUAAAUGUAAGUUCUGUUUAUGCUUAUGUUUCUGUAUUAACGAUGACAUCCCAAACGUUUUAAAAUGAAUAAAAUACGUUUCUUCGAAAAUGUUUUAAUAACGUAUUUAUCAUGUUUUACUGGGAACAAAUUCUGCAACAUUUUUAUUAAAAGAAGUACUCUGAUUUUUAUAAAGCAUAAACAAAAAAAUCGGUCUUUUCUGGCUGUGAAAAUGGGGAUGUCACAACCUCCCUCAAGUGCUCCUCGUGCUGGAAUAUAACCGAUCUAUACAUGAACGAAACCUUCCCGAAGGUAGUGAGAUACUACCGAGUUUUACUCACACUUGCUACAGUUACUACAUCCGUAGUAACCUACUCUACAGGGGACGACCUCCAGCUAUCAUUCCAAAUCCAAGAUAUGGAGAUGGCAUAUGACUCACUCGCAAGUAGGUAAUAUAAUAUUCCAAUAUAUGUACCUACUAAAUUGGUGCAGUAACAUAACAACAACAUCAUAAAUAAUAAUUGACAAGAAGGUAAAAGAUAUGUACCUCCAACAUCCCAUGCUGCUCGAAUCCUUGCUGAAGUCAACCGAAAUGCUUUGCUCCGAGCCAUGGGAGCCUUUGCCCGACCUUGACGUCUGCUGGCGGUUCUCGAAGUCACAGGGGCAGGAGCUGUCACCUGCCNNNNNNNNNNNNNNNNNNNNNNNNNNNNNNNNNNCCUGCCCUGCUGAACACAAACUCGGACAGUGGGCCUUCUUGUGGCCCCUCCGACUGCAAUGGAAACAUAUUGGGUCAAAUCCCUAGGCGAUGGUAGCAGUACAAUCUCUGCUAAAAUGACCAGUUUGGCCGCACUUGAAACAACGAGGAUCACCACCUCUACUACUCCUACACACACCCUCGUGCGUCCUGCCCCACUUACCGCAUCGGCUAUGGCCCUGGAAGUCUCUUGAUCUCGAACUCGGCCCUUUGGUUCUUUUACCCGAACAUGUGGGCCACUAAACCCCAUCCGGUUGCCUCUUCCUUUCUGACUCCUGGUCAAUCUCUCGCUCAUGCGUUACCUCAUCAAUCGUCUGAACAACUGCUGUCUUAUCCUGGAGCUUCUCGGUCAACCUAUCAGUGACCCUCUCAACGAUGUCGGGUAGCUCCUCGCGAACGACUCGUGAAACCUCCGCAACAACCCAAUCAUGCAGAGAACUCUCCUAGGGACAGGGUGCCCCACUCACUCCCGACCCCUGAUGGAAAGAGCUAAAAAUGGGACCUCCUCCCCAAUGGAUCCCUAGGAUCCAUAAGAUUCGGGCUCUAGACAAGCCCUAAACUACCCUGAAACUAACCCGGCUCUAAAGGCCUCAAGCCAACUGUCCAAAAGCUCCAUGAUGGCCUCCCUAACCAAAUCGAAUAUCAUUGGAGUCUGAUCAAUGAUGUUAUGCAUAAUCUCUACGGAAAUGACAUCUCUUAUUUGAUCAUCAAGCUGCCCGACUCUAGAGCCUGAGCCAGAUCCCUCCCCGGCACCUGAACUGCCAACUGGUAUCUCGCGCAACGUCACCAUGCUGAAAACAUAUCGCAAUAACUUUCAGAAUACUCAUUGCUGCUGAGGGACCUCUCACACACUCUACAAUUCCCCUGGUUUCGUCUUGGCCCCCUCUUGAAUCGAGUACGGAUCCUCUACUUUCAGUAGUACGGGCCCAUACUACCUUCCACAUCUAUCCGUACUCUCCUCAAGAGUUACCUGAACUCAACUAAGUCCCUUCUACUACUACUGGUCUCUGCUACUCUAAUCCUAGGAUUUCCCUAGGGGAAAUCCCUGACUCUACCCAACCCAGUCUUCAGCUGCUGAAGGCUUCCUUGUAAUGCCAAUUAGCCAUCACUGGAAUAUCAUCACAUGUGACGAGGCUCAGAUAAUCCUUCGAGUAGAAGACUCGUCCCUAUAACGGUUAGACUCAGACGAGAGCUGCGCAAUAGGGCCAAAUCCAACACUCUGAGAUUAUUCAACCCUGAUCACACGUGACGUGACGUAUUCACCUGAUGGCUAACUCCCAUCACUCAGAGUCCUACAAAGCAAAAAGCAAGCAGCAUUCGGACACAGGAAACUACUCAAGCACAUCUAUUCUCAUAACGAGAAACUGUACUAGCAUACAAUGCUAAGCUCAUACUAUCAGGCAUAACCUAAACAUGCUAUCCUACUACUCGCUACUCAAUUCUAGCAUGCAAUUCUCAUAAAACUAAAACACAUAUAGCAGGCACAUAAGACAUCCUCCUAGAUCCUUAGUCCUAUUCUAGCAUGCUGUUCUACUAAAACUGAAACUGAUAAUCAUAACAUAAACUUGUAUGGGUAAUUUGGGAGUACUUACUUGAGCUCGGCUGAUUGCAUGCACCACACCCUUUUCUCUUUUCAAAAUUCUUUUCGCUUUUUCUAAAACUCUUUUCUUUAUACUUUUUCUAAAAUUGUUUUCUUUUCUCAAAAUCCUUUUGUAAACAUGGUUUUUCUCUUGAAAACUUUAUACCACUUCCUUAGUUUGAGUUCAGACACACCCGAAAGUAUGCUCGAAUCCCUCAAACCAAGGCUCUGAUACCAACUUGUAAGGACCCAAAAGUCAUGACUAAAAAUUUCAUUUGAAUAAUAUUACUUAAACCACGAUUGUCAAUCCAUAACAUGAAUUAUAGUAUAAAUUCAGAGUGUUAGUUCAAAGCAUAUUCUUAUCAUCAGAGUAAAACAUCCCAGGCUGACUAACUAUGGUGUGUGCCAUGCGAUCAUCCCGAGCUCUUCCCUCCGCUACCGGAAGUACCUGAAACCAAAACUGAAAACUGUAAGCACGAAGUUUAGUGACCUCCCCCAAACUACCACAUACCAUACAAUAACAUAUAAAGCACAUAUUAGGCCUUGCCCACUACAUCGGACCGAAGUCCGGACUAACUGAACAUAGCAUAACAUGAUCAUAGCAUAUAACAUAAGCACAUAUACUGCAUACUCCAUCGGACCGAGUUCCGGACUACCUAACACAUAAACAUGCUUGAAUCACAAAGAAAUCAAACAUACUAAACUACUGCAUCGGACCAAAGUCCGAAACUACUGCUAUUUAAACGGGCCGACAUUGUGGCCAUAGACCCGUUCCUACUGGAAGAAAAAGUCACCUGUACUGCUAAACUCUACUGAUGAUCCUCUGGUUGCUAAUCGACUAUUCUCUGAAGCGUUGCUCUCCUAGCUCACCGAGCUACCAACACCAAAUAAUAGAACUUAGCCUAAACUGUCAUCUAGAGGUCAAAUAAGUCAACUCUGGUCAUGGUCCUGGUCAAAGUCAACCUUCCAGUUGACUCGACUCGCCGAGUUGUUCUACCAACUCGCCGAGUCCAUGCUCCUCAAAUCCUAAACAACCUCGACUCCACUCGUCGAGUCUAGCGAGAACUCGACGAGUUCUCCUUCAUCUAACACUUCAGGACUAUCUUCAACCGACUCACUGAGUUGUUCAACAACUCGCUCAGUCCAUCUUCAUCGGCUAAGGAGAUUGCCUUGGACUCGCCGAGUUCCUCCUUGAACUCGUCGAGUACCAUGAUCUUCAUGUCCAUCACGGGCACAGACUGGAUGAGUUCUUCUCUAACCCCACCCACUGAUCCGACUCAUAAACAGAAUGGUUUGGGUUUUGCGACCCGACUCGCCGAGUCCAUGAGAUGACUCGCCGAGUCCUCCUUGUGACAAGUCUAUUCUGUCGAUUUCAGUCUAUUCCAACACUUCCAACUCAUAGAUCUGGACUCCUUAUGCUAUCAUUGCACGUAAAGUUGCUAACUUUACGUGCAUGAAAGGUGUUAUGAGGCUAGAACACCCUAAUCUAAACUACAUUGGAGGUCUAAGUCAUGAAAGGAAGCCAUAGCUGAGUAACGCUUCACACGCAGAGCUUUUAGAGCUCAGAAAUGCUCAGAUCUAAUCUGUAUUCAUCCUCAAAGGCUCAAUACUCGGGUUGGCCUUGGAAAUGGUCCCAAAAGUGACAAGAUACUAGCAAAGAAGGGGAUCUAGAUGAUUAACAACCAAGGUAUGAGCUUCAUACCUUUAAAUGAUCUGAGAUGACACCCAAACUCUGGAUCUAUACUCCUUUCCUUGCUCCUUUCUCCUUCAACCUUCAAGAUGCACUCAAAAGGGACCUUAAUCUUUUCACAUAAGCUCAAGAAUGAAGUUGGGUGGCUAGGGUUUCGUCUAUGGACAAUGGAGGCUGCAAUUGAAACCCUAGAAAUGAGAAUGAGAUGCUUAAAUAGGGUACCAAGUCCCAAAAUUAGGGUUUCCCAACCCAAACCAGACUCGCCGAGUCAGUCUCCACGACUCGUCGAGUCGGUCACUUAAUCCGCGACACAGGUCACGCUCCGACUCGUCGAGUUCCUCCUUGGACUCGAUGAGUUGACUCCUUUGACUUAGGGAUUUUCUUUCCUUUCCUGGUCUUCCUGAUUCCGGGUGUUACAGAAGGUAUUGUGAUUCAUAUCACCAAUUAAAUGGGCAAUUGGAUAAUUCAAAGCUUAUAAUAAUUUUAAUUAUGACAGAAAAACAAAGAUCAAAAGUCAAUAAUUAGCAUCAUUUUGAUUUGUAGAAAAUUGUAUCUAAAAGCACAUUUACUGUUUAGUUAAUUAAUGUGUAAUGAUACACCUGAAGUGUUUGGAUACGUUGAAAUAAUGACGCACCUUUACUUUUAGUUUUUUUUGUAUGUGUUUCAUUUCAUGGUACUUCUUAUUAAAAAAUUCAUUCCCAUCAGAGUAGUUUUGAGUGUAUUAUAUCAUUUUUGUGACCACAAAAUGUAAAUUUACACUAAACAUGGGUAUAUAUGGUAUUUUCACUAGAAGAUAGGACUUUUAUGUAGUUUUGAUUGUAUUAUAUCAUUUUUAUCUUUCAAAUACAUGUAUAUGUAUUAGCCUUAAUGAGUAUACCAAAAAGUGAAUAAUUGUCUUUUGCUUUGUUCUUUUUGUAGAUUAGCGCAUUGGGAAUUCAAUUGAGGAGCUGGAUUCUGCUGAAGUUAUGUUUGAUGGCUAUAUGACACCAAAGAAAAGAGAAAAAAACACAUUACAAUUCACUUGAGGUGUUGGUUGUAGGAGAUAAAAAAGAGGAUGAUGAAUAUCCAUUCAAUAAUUAUGAUGAAUUUCUAAUUAAUGACUAUAAAGGAAAAGUAGUUCCUCCUGGUAAAAAUGCAAGUUAUUUAGAAAUGCAAGUUAUAAAUAUACUGAAGAAUAUGUAUGUUGUUUUGUGUUGGUACAUACAAGUUAAGGUAUAAUAGGCACCUAUUUUUGUAUGGAAGGAGCUGAACAACUUGAGUUUCUUAACAAACCAUGGUGUCCUCUCACCCGUAAACUAAAAAUAUUUGUUGUUAUUUUAAUUCCAUAUCUAUGUGUUUAAAUGCAAGAAAUAGCAACCAACUUUCAUUUAUUUGUUUAUUAUUUUGAAAAUUAUUCUUAAUAUCUAAUUGUGAUGUUGUGUAAUUAUGCAGGCUUCUAGUUUUGGUUCAAAUGAUGGUUCUUCGAUUGGUUCAAAUGGUGGUUUUACAACUAACAUUCCAUGUUUGAUUCUUCUAAUAAUUAUAUUAGCAUAUUAAUUUUUUGACUUUUAUUUGAUCAGGUCACAAGAAUUAUCAGAGCAGGGGUUCAUUAGUCUUAAAGAAUUAUGAAAGGCAAGAUGCAACUCUACUUAGUUGGAAUUUGAUGUUUAUCAUCUUUGUGUAUAUCUUUUUAGUUUGUAUAACAUUACAUUGCAGAAGGUUUCCCUUAAUAGCAAUGUAGUAUUAGGUUAUAUAGUUAGGGAAAACCUCUUAAUAACAAUGUACAAUUAGAUCCCCUUAAUAUCAAUAUAUUACAAUUUUUUUGACAUGAUGUUAUUGGAUGAAAGUGAUUGUUUUGGUAUAUAUUUGUUUACAUAUUUUUGUAUUAUGCGUAAAUGAGUAUCGUAAAGACGCGUCGUAAAUGCAUAUCGAAAAUGGUUACUAAAGUUUAUGACACGCAAAUGUGUGUCAUCUUCAUUUAUGACAGGGGAUUCCUUGAUACGCAUUGCGUGUCAUAAACACACGCGUCUUAAGGUUACGACACGCAAAUGCGUGCCGUCUUCCCUUAUGAUAGGGCUUUCCUUGAUACGCAUUGUGUGUCAUAACUGUGUGUCGUAAAUGCCUGUCAUAAAUGCGCAUCGUAAAUAGACGAUGUGUAAAAGUGUGUCGUCUCUUGUUAUGACAGGGUCUUCCUUGACACACAUUUGCGUGUCGUCCGAGCGUUUUACGACACGCAUUGCGCGUCGUAAAAGACUGUUUUUCUAGUAGUGAAUGUACUUACUCAUUCUAAAAUAUUAAAAUUCGUUUGGUAUAAAAUAUGUAUUCAUUAAAAAUUAUUAAUCUUGAUAAUAUAUGUUUAUAGUAUUCUCUCAAAAUGUAAUGUUUUUUUUAAAGAUAAUCAUACACACAUUUUUUUUAAAAUGUCCGAAUUAAUAUAAUUAUUAUAAAAAAAUCAGAUUUCUAAAAUUAAGAGAAUUAAUUAUUUCCUAAAAUCCGUAAUUUUUAAUUUUUAAAUUUAUUUUAAUUGACUAAAAUACCCUUACAAUGAAAUUAGAUGGUAAUUUUGAAUUAUUUUUAAUUCAAUAAUAUUUAUUAAUCAUUUUCUUAAAAUAACUAAAAUGAUUGGCCUACAAUCAUUCCUACAUCCACAUAAUAAUUAGUUAGAACACAAUAACCUAAGCCUAUAUGUAAUUAGUUGUAAAUUAUUUAUUUCAUGGAAAUAUUAAUUUCAAUGUUAAGUAUAAAAAUAUAUCAUAAAGUAUGAUUUAUUAUGUCAUGUAAAUCUUUGUGGACCAAAAUGGUUUUUUUUUUGUCUUAUAUGGAUUUAUAUGUUUUAUAAGUUAUAAAAAUUAGAAGAGUUUUUAUAGAAAAACUAGCUUCUUUUUAUAAAAUAUUCAAGAAGACUAUAAAAAAAUACUUGCUUUUGAUUAAUUUAUUCAACACGCUAUGCUUUUAGAAAGCAUAGCUAGUUGAUUUGAUGAAGCAUGAGUUUUAAAUGCUAAGACCCAUGGGUAAGGACUUAAAAGAACUAGUUUUCUCACUUCUUUCACUAAGUGAACCAAAAAAUUUAUGGCUUCCCAUCUCUAUAUUUUCUUUAGUUUUUGUCUCUUAAAGUGUUAAGAACAUAAAGAUGAAGAUGAUACUUCAAUACUCUCUUUUAAGGAAAACUAGUUUCUUUGUCUUAUAAGCUUAAGAGAUUCUUUUAUUACAAAAAUAAGACUAGAGUCUUAUUAAGUUGAUUUAUUGUUGGUGGAUAUCUCUGGAGAACUUUUACCUUGAAGUUUCAUGCCACACAUCAUCAACUUCCAAUCUCCCAUGGGAAUCAAAAUCUUCAAAGGUUGUAACAUUUUUUUAUGGUUGUUUUUAACUUUCUAUGUUUUGCAAAAAUAUCUUUUGGUUGAUAUAAAACUACUUUUAUUUUUUCAAAAUCACAGUCUUUCGUUGCCACAUGUUUUUGAAAUAAUUUUUGAAUAAUAACCCAACAAUUUGUAUCAGAGUCAUUUUUGUAAGCUUAGUUAGAUUAUUUGUUAAGUUGAUUAAAUCUUUGUUUUUGGAAAACAUUGAUAGUUUUCACUUUGCAAGAAAAAUCCAUACAUAUUUUCUAUGAAAACUUUAAAAUUUUUAUAAUUUUUAUUUUUUACUAAAAGUUUACAUGUAUCUUUUUAGUCAUAAAAGUUGUCUUAGAAAAACAAAGAGUUUGUAACAUCCGGAUUCCCAUGUAUAUUAUUUUAUUCAUUUAUUUUGAGUUUGGGGAGGAACUCGGCAAGUUGAUGCGUAGACUCACCGAGUAGGAUCACGAGUUCUUAUCCGGAUUAGUGACCGGACUCGACGAGUCGAGUCGUGGACUCGGCGAGUCCAUGCUGUUAAGUGAAACCCUAAUUCUCGGGUUUGGGACCUAUUUAAAGGCUCUUAUAGCCUUCAGUUGCGGCUACCAGACCCUAGAGAGAGACCCUAAGAGAGCUAGAGCGUUUGUGAGGAAGGAAAGGCCAUUUUUGAUCCUUGUGUAGGUGUUCUUGCAAGAAAAAGGUGACCAAGGCAAGAGGGAGCUGAAGAGGGUGCUAUUCUGUAGAUUUCAGAGCUCAAGGACUUCAUAUUUGAGGUAUAGAUUCGAUCCUUCUUCAGUUUUGGUGUUAACCUUGGGAGUUAGGGUUUUCUAGACCCUUUAGAGGCUCGAUUUGAUGAGCAUUUGGUCCCUUCUCGUAUUAAGGCUUUGGAUCUGGAUCCAAAGAGGUCCAGACACCUUAACCCUUUGAUCUUUAUGAUUGAUAUUGGGAGACAUGAGCUUAGGAUGCCAUAUUUGGGUUAUUUCUUCAAAUAGAGUCUUUGGGCCUUUGCACGGGCACCAAGUUCUGAACUUUACGUGAUUAUAAUGCUUGGGAAGGUCGGAUCUAUGGAUUAGAGGAACGGAUCUGACCUCAGGAGGUCUUUUGAGUUUGAGCAUGGCAUGAACUCGCCGAGUCCAAGAACAGACUCAACGAGUAGGAGUAGGUUCUCCGUAAAUCACACAGUUGGUGACUCGCUGAUUUGGGGAAAUGACUCGGUGAGUCAGAGGGGAUCUAGAGGACAUGAGUUCACGACUGAACUCGCUGAGUCAAGAGCCGGACUCGACGAGUUGGGACUGGUUGUCCCGCGAUUCACGAUCAGUGAUGAUUUGAAGAGUGGAGGGUUGACUCAGUGAGUCAGGUGAGGACCAGGAGUGUGAAGGACACACAUGGACUCGUCGAGUCACGUUUGUGCACUCGACGAGUCUGGUCAAGGUUUAACCGUUGACUUUUGUUGACUUUUAGGGAUUCGUCAACAAUUGGACUUGUGGACCGUUUGAAGGGUAAAAUGGUCUUUUAGCCUUCUUAGAGGACAUGAGAGAGAGUCUAGCCUAGCCUGGAGAGCCAUUAUUAAUUGUGAUGAUUAUUUAUGUUUUAGGCAGAGGCUAGAUUAGUGUAUACGCGAGCGAGAUAUCAUUUGAGAUAUCCGAGGUGAGUCUUCUCACUAUACUUUACCUUGAGUGGUAAUUAGAGUUAUAUGACAGAGUUAUUGUAUGCUUUUUAUGUGAUGUGUUGCACUGCAUUAUUUCUAUGUGAUUUAUGCUAUGUGUAUAUCAGAGUUACAACCGGAAGGUUCACAGAGCUAGGACCAGAGGGUCCACAGAGUUAGGGCCAGGGGCCCACAGAGUUAUAGCCUCGAGUGGCUAAAAAGGUGUUUUUNUUAUAGCCUCGAGUGGCUAGUAUGUGUUAUGUGUGGUAUUUUGGGGAACUCACUAAGCGUCGUGCUUACAGUGUUUUGUGUUAUGCGUUUCAGGUACUAGUGAGGAUCGCGGGAAGGCGUCGGCAUGAUUAGUACACACACGCAGAGUUUAUAUAUAUGUUAUGAUCUUGGGAUUUUGACUUAUGUUUGGAUAUGAAACAAUGAGUUUUAUAAUAUUGUGAAAUAAAAUGUUUUUAAAAUGUGAAAAUUUGUUUGAAAUUUUACGGCGUUAUAGAGUUGUUUUAUAUAAUUUUGAGUAUAUAAAUGUCUAUGAUGUGCAUAAACUAGCCAUGGACAUUUGUGUUGUUGCAUGCGUUGAUUUAUUUAAAAUGGUCGUAAUUAUUUAUUUAUUCAUGUGGUAUGUAAUAAUUAAAUAGACAGUUUUCAUUUGUUAAUUUUUGUAAGUAAUAAAUUAGUUUUUAGAAAUAGUUUAUUUUAUAAAAAUGUAACAAGAAUUAAGAUGGUGGCCAUUUUGAAGAUCCAAAGUUUAUAAACUUGAUUUUAUUAAAGUUUGUCAAACUUUGUAAAAUUAUUUUAUAAACUUGCUACAAGGUGUUGAAGCAAGUGGGAGCACAUGAAGACUUUACAAAAUGAAGGUCCCUUCAGUCCCUUUAGGAAUGGACUUAUUAUUUUUGUGAUUACUCACAAAAAUAUUAUUUCAAUUGUGGCUUUGUUUAUGCACAUAUGUUUAUAGCAUAUUUGUGUUGUUUUAUAUUUAUGCUGUUAUUAUUAUGUUAUGGUUGAUAAAUUAAUUUUUAAAAUGCAAAAUAAUAUUUGAACAUAAAUAAACAUCACAAAAGAGUUUGAUUUUAAUGAAAUUUACCUUUUAGCAUAAGAUGGUAAAAGUAGUUUUAAAAUAAAACAAGUUUUUUCGUUAAAACUAGUAACCGGUAAAAUUUUGGGAAUAAAAUUAUAUAAGUUUAAAAUAGAGAUAUGUAAACUUCUCAAACUUCAAACCUUAAUUUAUAAAAUAAAUUUUAUUAAAAGGUUUGAAAAUGUUCUAAAACGCUAAAAUAUUGACUUAAUAGUAGUUAUUAAAAUUUGAUCGCGUCAAUUUUAUAAAACCAGAUUUUAUAAAAGAACAUUGUUAAAAUGUGAUUCUUUUUUUUCAUAAAAUAAUAUUUUAAAGUAUACUAUGGUUUAUUGGAUGUAUGCAAUAACCAUGAUAUAAUAUGUUUUUGAAAACUAUAACUAUAAAACCAUCAAAAACCCCUUACAAAUCUCAAAUCUAUGCAAUCCCUUUUGAAGAACACUCGCGAUUUCUCUAACCAAGUUAUAGACCGAUUACACAAGUUUUUCAAAUUGGAUGAUUUGAUCGGAAAUCUUUUGUGAUCAAUGUCACCUAAGAAAGAGAGAUCCGAUGCAUAUAUGGGAUGUAACAUGUCUAAUGAAAAUUUUUAAUAGUGAUCCCAUAAAUCUAUGAAUUAUAUAGUAAGAUAUAAUUGAUAAUCAAUAUCUACCAGACUAAAUUCAAAUGAAUGAGAUAAAGGUCACAUAAUCAUUUAUUUGUUUUGCAACUUGGAUCCUAGACUUUGAUAAUUAAUGUUUUUGGAAACUAAAAGGGUAUUAAUUAUUAAAGACUAAAUAUUGAAAAUACUAAAUGAAUUUUGUAAAUAAAUAAUCCACACUCAUUACUAUGAAUAGUUAUUUUCGUUAAAUGACUUGAUAAAACAAUAACAUUCAAUAGACAUAACUUCAAUAAAUGAGUUCAUGUCUUGAGAGAGAAUCUCAUGAGAGAUGUGAAAUUAUAUACACUUAAAGGUCAUAGUCCUAAACAAUUUGCUUUGUGCAAUAGACCUGAGCAUGAUACCUAUUAAAGGCAUCACUGUGAUGCUCAAGAUGCUUCUAACAUCAUACUAGGAAUAGUUAUUCCUGAUUUCCAGGAAGUCUUGGAUAAUAUNUAUAUAUAUAUAUAUAUAUAUAUGAUAUAACAGGUUAAACAAUAUUCCAAAAAAUAUAGUGAUAUUUGUUUUAAACUUGUUUAAAUAGUGGAAUAAUGCAAGGAUGAAAAGAGUGACCUUAUGUGAUCUAGGAAGCCUAUGUUUAAAGGACUGAGCACCUUUAAGCCCAAGAAAUCUAAGAAGACUCGCAUAGAUGGAUCUUGUUUCUUUUGUGGAGAAAAUGGAUACUGGAUGAUAAAUUACUUCUCUUACCUGAAAAAAAAAGUUCGGGAGAGACUAGUACUUCAGGUAUCUAUUAGAUAGAACUUAUACUUUUCAUAUAACACUCAAGUACUUGGUACUUAAAUCUUAAGCUAAUAUUUGUGACUUGUUUGCAUAUAAUUACAAAAGAGUAACCAACUGAGCACAAACAAGUUGUAACCACACUCUCAGAGUUUAGUUCAUUAUUUAUGCUUAGAACAUAAAUUACUUGUAAUAUACAACAAUGUUUGUUUUGGAACAUUGUAUGUUUUAAAUUUAGCAUGUCUAAAUAUUUAUGUCUCAGUUGUUUUAUUUAAAUGUUUGAUUAUUUACUUGAUCAUUUUUAUAACGAUAAUACUCAUAUUCUGAAACGAUUAACUUCUGUUUAUGAAACUAGAUCUCUUAAUAGAACUAUAAAUUAAAUAUCAAUAUUUUAAUAAAUAAAAUUAAGUUCUAAUUGCAAACACUUUUGGCUUAAACUUGUUUUGAAUCAAAGUUAUCUAAGGCAUUGUUAUAUUUUAUUAUAUAAAUGAAAUAUACAUAUUCCAACUUCAAGAAAUGGAUAUUUAAAAGGAAAUAAUGUUGUUUAUUUGACAUAUGUGAAUUUUAUUGUAUAUAAAAUAUUUCUAAUCAAAAUUUUCCUAAUAUGUAGAGGGAAUAAUUUUGAAGGAACUAUACAUUCUGAUGUAUGAAUUCCUUUCUAAUGAAUUUCUAAGAUUUAAUGCAAGAUACCAAAUCAAAUUUAUUAACAACUAUAGUAGUUAUAAUUAUAUUUUACAUGGUAAACAUGAUUGUGAAACCUUUGUUGAUGUUCCAAACAUAAAGUUGGGAUACAAUCCAGUAACACCAUCUAAAGCUUUACGUGAUAAUGAAGGAUAAAUUAGUCCUUACCGGAUAAUGUUUACUUUUUAAUUAGUCGAAAUUAUAUUACUUUAUUCUCUUGGGAUUAUACAUUAAUCACUAUUAAUUGUAUCUUAAUUACAAACACCAACAAAUUACAUAUCUGUAGAAUAUUCUAAAGGGGCAUUUAGAUUAUUAAUACAAACCCAUAAAGAAUAAGUUCUCUUAUUCUUCUGAAUGUUGAGUUAGCAGAAAGCAAGCUUCUAGUGACAAAUCAAGUGGAAGGCACAUGGAACUUGAAUAAGCUCAAGAACCGUAGCUUCAUGUAGCAAUUGUUGACACUAGUUUCAACAAGGAAUUGUUAAAAUUGAAUAAUAGUUAUUCACAAAUACAAACUGUUCGUAUUAAUGGUAGAAAUCAUCAUUGAUUUGAGAAAUGUGGAAUCUCUCAUUGAUGAGUUCUUUUUGAUAGUUUCUGGAAAAUCCAUCGACUACCAAGAUGCUAUAUCAAAUCUUGAAUUUGAUAAAUGAAUUAGAGUCAUGAACAUUGAUAUGUAAUUCAUGUAUAAUGUAACAUCCCGAUGUUGAGGUAUUUUCAAUUGUAACCCUAUGUAUGAUUAAAUGUUGCAUUUUGGUCCCUAAGUAUAAGAAAGAGUAUAAAAUGGACCAUAUUGGCAUUUUGGUAAUUUAGUCAAUGAUUAGUAUGUUGUAGGGUGUUUACGGGGCGGUUCGACUCAGAUAGUAAUAAAAUUAUGAACCGUGACCACGGGGCAGGCAUCUUACAUGCACUAUUCGAAGCGAAACGAAUUGUAUAAUAAACCGAAUUGAACCAAACCGUAUAAAAGCGGGUAACCACGACUCGGUUCACUGUUACCCGCUAUAAAAGAUCAAAUUUUGUUGGAGUUCUAACACCAUACAUUACCAAAAAAUGAUAAAUGUGAUACAUAGACAUAAAUAAGAUACUAUACACUGAUACAUAUAUAUAUGACAGAAAACAUAUCAUGCAUAAUAAUAUAAACAAAUAUACAAAAUUUGAGAAAAAACCAGUUAUAUAUUUAGUACUAAAAUAAAAACAUUUAAUUUAAGGAACUAAUGCUUCAAUAAUGUAUAAAGUAGAGAAAAUGAAAACCCUAAUUUUUAUUUGGACACUCCUAGUACGAUGGACAUACACCUCAUACGCGGGGCGUACGUAGUGAAAAUAAAAACCCUAAUUUUUAGGGUUUGAUCCAUAUAUAAACAUCAUUAUCUCUCAUUUCUCAUUCCCUCACUAGCCUCCCUUUGUGAAAAUAGACCCCAAGCAAACCCUAAGUGAUAAUAGUGCAUUUUGAGCCCAUUGGUGUACUUUGGUAGUGUUUGUGAAGAUUAAGAUGAUGAUGAUGAGAAGAGAUUGGAGCUUGGAAGCAACUUAGAUCUAGGAUUCCACACUUGUUGGCAACAUCUUGGAGGUAAAAAGUUCACAACCUGAUUACUUUAUCUUGUAGAUCUAGCCAUUUCUUCCUUUAGGGCACUUCUGGUCCAAAAUAUGGUGAUUCUUGAGCAUGACAUGUUCUUGAUAAAAUAAGUCAUCCUUUAAGACCUUAUGGGGGGUCUUAAGUCAUAAAAAUGUGGUCUUGAUGGUUAGUUUUACUCCAUGCAUGUUAUAGAAGGUUUUAAUGCAUUAAGAUGUUAAGAUUUGGUGUUUUAAGCACUUAAUGGACAUGUAAAGUCAUAAAGUUGGAAACUUUAUGACUCAUGAUGGUAUUUUAGCCUUGGAUCUAUAAUUAGACAUCUUAAGUCGAAGAAAUAAGUGCUUAAUAGGCUAAGAGAAGGACUGCUGCGUAUGUUGGGCAUACCGCAGGGUACGCUGCGUGUACGCAGAUAUGGCCUCGAUGCCUCAGACACACUUGUUUACCCCGCGUACAAAGCCUGAGUCAAGUCGGUUGAGUUGACUUGGUUGAAUUGUUGACUUUGAGUAGUUUUGACCAAGGGUGUUGUGGGAAAAUGUUAUUAAUUUAGAAAGGAAAUGCAUUGACAUUUAGGAUUUGGGUUGGGCCGGUAUUUGGGAGUAGAGUGUUGAUCAGAUAUUCGUCAAACUGUGAGGUGAGUUUCCUCACUGUUCUUGGGGUUGAAGGUACCAAUGCCGGCCCCUUUGGUUAUGUAUCCUGGUAUUUAGGAUGUUGCUAUAUAGUAGUAAUCUGUAGAUCUGUCUGCUAGUCUGUUAAUUGGUUAUAUGAUUAUAUGUUGUUGGAUAUAUGUUAUUUGUUAUAUGCAUGUCGACGUGGUAUGGUGGGGUUGAGACUGUAGUGCUUUGUGCUAUAAGUCAAUAGACCAGGGCAUUCCAACCGGAAGGUUGUGGGCCGGAGGUAAUCUAACCAGAAGGUUGUGGACCUGUUAUGUUAUGUAUUGGGCACUCUAACCGUAAGGUUGUGGGCCAGAGCAUUCCAACCGUAAGGUUAUGGGCAAGGGGUAAUCCAAACAGGAGGUUGUAGACCUAUUAUCUGUUUGAUUAUAUGUUUUUGUGGUGGUGCUUUGGGGGAAACUCACUAAGCGUUGACUUACAAUUUUAGUUUUGUUUCAGGUACUUUAGAGGACCAUGGCAAGGUGAAGGCGUGAUCACACACAUCAUUGAUUUUAUGAUUGAUUGGAUCUUGGGAGACUCUGUUUUUGAAUAAUUUUUCGAAAACAAUGAUUAUGUAAACACUUCUUUUCAGUAAAUGGGUUGUUUUAAAAAGUUUAAAUUUAUUGUGGUUUUGAGAUGUUACAUAUAAUAAUCAAGUAUGGUCUUGAUGUAUCUUCCUCUUUAUAGCAAGGCUAGAAGGAGUAAGAGAUUCUUUUAGAAAGAAUAAAUACAUGGAUAUCAUACACAUUUAGCAAGGCAUGUCAUAAAAUGAUUUUAUCAUACUCGUAUCAUUGACUAUGGUCCUAUCAUACUCAUGACAUUAACUAUGAUCAAACUUUUUCAGAAGUAGCUAUGAUUAGAUCAACAAGGAUAUUAUUUACUAUUACUUUAUAUUCUUAAUAUGAAGUAAAGCACUUCCUAGGCUCUCCUAGGAUCUCACCUCACCCUGCCAUCAGCUGACUAAAGACCCUCAUCGGUGCCAAUUAACUACUUCAUGAAUACAAUCACAUGCAAAAUAACUUAAAUAAUCUUAGAUUAAAAGAUUCAACCCUACAACGGUUGGACUCAUACAAGAUUUGCACAAUAAGAACAAAUCCUUCACUCUAUGAUUAUUAACCCAUGUAACAUGUGACUUAAUAUAUUCAAUUAAUAGUUAAUUCACACUCGAAAGAGUCCUACAAGAAACAAGCAAGUAACAUUCGAUCAAUAAAACUCUAUAGGCAUAAGGCAUUAUAAUUCAGGAAAUUCUAGUAUGCAAUUCCUGAAGAUCCCUACCCUAUAACUAGCAUGCAGUUCUAUCAUAAGCAAAUUACGGUGUGGUUAUCUUAGAGGUAUACUUUCUUGCUUCGGAUGAGCGUACACAUUUCAUCAUUCUUUGGUUACCCUUGAAAAACAUAUCCGAAAACAAUUUUGAAAAUUAUUUUGAAAACUUUUACAUACUCUGGAUUCGUACGAAUGUUCAUACAAUUCUCUCAACCAGGGAUCCGAUACCAACUUUUAACAUCCCAAAAAUCAAGGUAAAUUUUUUUUCAAGACCAAUCUAAAAACCAUAGAUGUUUACAAAACAUAGUUUCUAAAAGUUAUAAUAAUGAACCGAGUAUCCCAAAUCAAACAUCAUAAAAUACGAUGGAUGUGUAUGAUUGAGCCUUUGUCCUAUCCUUUGAAGUACCUGAAACCAUAACAAUCAAACUGUAAGUCAAAGCUUAGUGAGUUCCCACAAAGUACCAUACACAACCAUAUGGAUAACAACAUGCAUACCGGGUCCACAAUUAUCAGAUUGGAUUACUCCUGAGCCUACAACAUGAAUCUGGCUUGCUCCCAGGUUUGUUGGCUUCCGCAUAGAGCAAUAUUGCUUCAACCCUACGGUGCUAUAUCGACAUAUGCAAUAGGGAUGUCAACGGGGGCAAACGGGACGGGGAGUGCAUCCCCCGCCCCCGCCCCCAAAUUUUCCUUGUUCCCUCGUUCUUGCCCCCGCCCCCGAAAUGUAUAACCUUCUUACCCCCGCCCCCGAUUGAUUUUCGGCUGCCUUUUUUUUUGGUUAAAAGAAGUUGUUAUUUACGCUAAAAGAAACUAUUUUUUAGGUAACAAAUAAUUAUUUGUAGUAAAAUUUUACAUGUUAAAAAUAAAAAAAUUAUGGCAUCUUAAAAACAUUAUACUAACAAUUUAAAAACAUGUUUUUUUUAAUGAAUUUUGGAAGCUCAAAAUCAUGUUAUAGUUUAUUAUAUUUAUAUAAUUGAUAUAUGUAAAUAUUAGUGUAAUUUAUUAACGGGGUCCCCAUGGAGGUUUCGGGACAGGAUUGUCUACCCCCACUCCCGCCCCCGAAAUUAAAAUGGGGGUUAACCUUGCCCCCGCCCCCGAUUUUUUAAAUUUUUUUCCCCAAACGGGACGGGGGCCCCAUGGGAACGGGAUCCCACAGGACUUUUUGACAUCCCUAAUAUGCAAUAGAUACAUAAUCUAGUGGGACGAUAUUGGUGCUUUCAACCUAUAAGUACAAUGAAGAAAAUUCACUUGAAAUGAAAGACCAAGAAACACUACCACAUGCUUCCCUUUUGCAUUGCUUGCUCCCAUGAGCCAUCUAUCACCAAAACAUGGAAGAGUCUUGAUCAACAGCCAAAAUCCUUCAAGUUUGACCUGAAGUCAAACAGGUCAAAUAGAUAACGGUCAAACUUGAUCAAAGUCAAAGCCACAUCGUGGCUAUGCCAAAAUAGGACAAUCGUGAUUUAUUGUGCUAAGAGAGAUUUUCCUAACUAAAAUUAAAACCAACCUACAUAUAUGCAAAUCUUGUAAUUAUAUGUAUUCAAAUCUUGUAAAUAUAUGUAUUGGAGGGUAUUCAUAGAGUUUGAUUUUGUUCUACGUAUAUUUUAUUAUUGAUUACGUCAUAUAAGCUUUAUAUUAAAGCAAAUAUUAUUAUUUUCUGGAAAAAAUCGUGCCCAUUGUUUAUAUAUAUUUCAGUGAUCCCAUAUAAACAACCUAAGUUGAAAUUUCCCUUUCAUCCUAAAUGCGGAAUAUGGAGGCCGGAGAGCCAUCCUACAGCGGCGGUGAAGACUGCUCCGAUGAUAUUGAAGGAAACAUUGCCUACAACAUUGGGUUCUAUUUGGUCUCUCUGAUGGAAUAAUUCAGAAAUAGAUUUAAUUGUUUUAAUGUCAUGUUUUUAUUUUAUGUUGAAUAAUUCAAGCCAUGUUGGAUGUAGAAGUCCGAGUCUUAAGCCAGUAAGGGUAGUUGCAGAAAUUUUAGCAUUUUUCUUUGUUUAAAUCGAUAGCUAGUGUGAACGUUGUGAUUAUCACUUUUUCCUGCAAUUCAGUAAAUAAAAGGCUUCAAAAGCUAUAAGCUUUAAGCAGUUCUUGGUGCUCUGUUUCUUUUGUGUUACUAUUUCAUUGCUAUACCUAUGACAACCUGAAAUUUUGUUCUGUACAAACAUUAGCACUUCAAUAGAAGUCAGAAUAGUUGCAGUAACUUUUCAGACUUUUCAGUAUAAGUUUGAGUAUUUCAGGAUUUACACUUAAAGAGAUAUCAGGAGAGAGGAUGCGCUAGGGUUACGUGCAACUCUGUUAUUUCAAAACUCUAUGAUAUUAGAGUUCAUUUCUUGAAUAAAAUAUUUUCUGCCAAAAAUCCCAGGAGUAUAUAUAGGAUUCUGAGCCAUAUUUAUUCAUUAGUUCCAUUUCCAACUAGAGAAAAGCAGAUUCUCUCCCACGGAUCUUCGGUUUUUCAUCCCAAAUCGUGAGUACCUCUCUCUAGUUGUAUUAUAGAGCUUAAUAUGUGCUUAAUAAUAUAAAAAUCAUGUCCAAACAACAAGAUUUAAGAGUUUACCGCCCAAGAACAUCUUGGACCGUAAACCCUUUUAUAAGGGAGAAAUGAGGGCCUAGUCCUUUCCUCUUGAUAUGAAACUAUGCUAGGCUUGUAUGUUAGUGUAUAUAGGACUAGAAAUCACCCAUGAACACCAAGAGUAAGGUGUUUACGGCCCAAGAAGUUCUUGGACCGUGAACUCCAAACUCAAGGGCCAAAAGGUGCCUUAAUCACCCCUAAAGCCUUGGACAAUAGCCUUGAUUUACUCCGAGUUAAUUUAGGGACUUUAAAUCAUCAAAAAACCCAUCCUAAAGAGAGAUUACGACCGUAAUCUCUAAUGCUUUUGGUCCUUGGGGCCGUAAACUCCUCAAAGGAGUGUAUUUAAGCCCAAGUAGGAAUGCUUCUAGGGAUCAUUUAGAACUUCAAAACACCAAAUGACAUCAAGCUUAGGAGCUUACGGCCGUAAAAUCAAGGGUUUAUGACCGUAAACUCCUUGUGUGAGGUUUCUUGGAGAGUAAACUCAUGUAUAGGGUCCUUUGGAACCCUAAAACCCCUAGCAUUGACCUACAACAACUUAGAUGCAAUCCUUAGGGCUAAUAACACUUAUUAUAAGUGUUUAACAUGUUCUAGGAGGUCUAAACAUUUUCAAUUAGUAAUUUAAAGCUAAUUGGGUACAUUUAUGUGUGAUUAUAUGUUAACUAGGAUCAUAGCGUGUGUUCAAGACUUCACUUGACACCUAGCAAUCCUACAUCUUCAGUACAUCCGUAUCACUCACUACAGGUGAGUUCAUACCCCUUAAUCAAUGGUUUAAAUGUUUUUAAACGCUUUUAUGGGGGGGGGGGAAUACAAGUCAAAUACUUAUAGUUAUUAAAUCAAUCACACGUGAUUAAUAACUACUAAACCAGUGAUCUUUCUUACUGUUCAAACUGUUUUGCUUCAAACUGUUUUACAAAUUCUUAUAUUUGUCAAAUACAUUUACUUAAGCUCUGUUAUACUUAUUAUCAAUUGCAUGUGUAGGUAUGUAUAGUUAUAUAAGCAAUGUUUAAAAAGCUUAGGACGGCUUUCUCGCCUUAUUUCCUUUUCGCCGUUGAGAUGUGGUCUGGUGGGGUAUCGGGUAUCCGUCCGAAGGUCGUUUAAUCAUUAGUUAUAUAUCAUGUGUACAUACAUCGUCAAAAAGGUUCUUAAAGUUCAUUCAAUACCCUUGGGUAGCAUGGGUAUACUUCCAUGUUCAUACGUACCAGUACAUCACUAGUAAGUUACCAUAGGGGUAGCACAGGAGGAUACAUUUACUAUUACUAGAACAAUGAAACAUACAAUGAGUCAGUUCAUUCAUGAGUCGGUACGGGUAAUACAUACAGUACAUUACUAUACAUGCUAGAUAGAGAGAACAUACAUUACAGCUAGCACACACAGAACAUUUCAGUACAUUACUAUACAUGCUAGAUAGAGAGAACAUACAUUACAGCUAGCACACACAAAACAUUUCAGUACAUACAGGCAGACAGAGAAAGAGUACACCUUUCAGUUAGCACAUUCAUUACAUGUACAUUUAUGCAGUUAUGUGAACCGUUAAGCGGGGCAUGGCACUUCCUUCCAUGACCGUUUUUGUAUCCUGAAUUUCCUUAAUUAGGGAGCGUAUGAGUUUGCGUAUAGAUCUAUACUGAAUUGACUAUCCUACACCUUGUUGCUCGCUACAGUGGGACUUGCAAGUCUAUGGGUGCCAAAGGUCAUUUCUUACGGCGUCUUACAUCGGCGUUUUACUAGAGUCAGUAGCAGGAUACAGGUCGAUCACGUGUUUUAUUGAAUACCUUUUGUUUUUAAGGUAGUUAGUACAACGGUAGUCACUUAUUACAAAUACUACGGUACUUUGAUAUUUUCCCAUUACAUUCACUUCGUGAAUAUUCACACGAUGCAUGGUAAUGUAGUAACUAUAUUUUUGGUUAAUGAUAGUCCGAAUUGGGAAAACACACACACUCUAACAAGAGACAUACACACAGACACUAGAUGCCUUGGUAGAAGGCUAUAGUUAGUAGGAAACAUAGGGUUUUCUAGGAGAGUUCAAACAUUUUACAAAACAUUUUACAAAUGCUUUCAUACAAAGACAGACAUUAAUAUACUUAUGAUCUCACCAGCUUUAAGCUGAUACUCGCUUUCAAAAUAACUUGUAUUCUCAGGUCACCACUAGACAGGUACAGGUGCCAGGCUUUUGAGAAGAUGGAGUUCGUUCAAGACUCAUCUGUUAUUUUUGAUAUGUAUAUUUUUGGUGUCUAUAACUUUGACAGAACACACAUGAAUAUACUAUUAAUGCAAUGGAUGAUGUUGUUGCUUGUUUACUAUUAUUCAUUGUUUGUGAUACUAUACAUGACGUCCUCUGCCCCAGAAUGUUUCCGCCAUUCAUGGUUUUGGGGUGUGACAAUACCCUUGAUAACAGGUUUGUGAAAAACCAACAUUUGGUAUCAGAGCAUACUUGGUACAUGCCCAAAUAUCAACCUAGAAAAGAAGAAAUGGCAGGCAGUGGCAGCAAUGGGAAUGGUGACAAAGAUGGGCAAAUCACUCUACACUAUCCGAUGUUGACUAGAAGCAAUUACAGUGCAUGGGAAAGUAAGAUGAGGGUCUUUAUGUUGGCUCAAGGUGUUUGGGAUGCAGUAGAACCCAGAACAGCCAACACUCUCGUUGAAACAAAGAAGGAUAACAUGGCAUUGAAUUUGAAGCGUUAAGCAUGAAAGAGAUGGAAUGUGUUGAUGAUUUCACUGGGAAAGUGAUCAACACUGUAAGUACUCUACGCACCCUAGGAGAUAAGAUUGAAGAGGCUCAGGUAGUGAAGAAAUUACUUAGAGCUGUAUCAUCCAAAUUCAUCCAGAUUGCCUCAACACUUGAGCAAUUUGGAGAUUUGGAAUCUAUGUCUGUCGAGGAAGUAAUUGGUAGGCUUAAGGUGUAUGAAGAACAUAUGAAAGGCAGCAGCGAGAGUGACAAUCGGAAACUCUUAUUGACCCACAAAGAAUGGACCGAGAAAUACAAGAAAAGGGCAGACGGAGACUCGAAACAAAGUUCGAAUCGUGGUGGCUUUAGUAAUUCUCGUGGUGGCAGAGGCAGAGGCAGAGGCAGAGGAAGGAAUGGAAGUGGCCGUGGUGGUCGUGGAAGGGGAAAUUCACACCAUCAGAAAGAAAGAGGUCAAGGUUCAUCAAAUAAUCGAGACAAAAGCGAAAUUCAGUGUUAUAAUUGCCAAGAAUUUGGCCAUUAUGCCGCUGAAUGUAAAAAUCCAAGAAAGGAGCGAAGUCAUGAAAGCAAUUUAAUUCAGGAGCAUGAAGAUAAUGAACCUGCACUCUUAUACGCAGCAUAUGAAGAUGAGAGCCUAGUGUUCCUGAAUGAAGAAAAUCUCAGUCCCCAUUUGAGAACCCAUGGCAAUCCAAAGAAAUCAUCUUGCAUAUGGUACCUGGACACAGGUGCUAGUAAUCAUAUGAUUGGAGACAAAACCACAUUUAGGAAUUUGAAUGAAUCAAUUCAUGGUUUUGUGACAUUUGUAAACGAGUCAAAAGUAAGAAUCGAGGGAAAAGGCUCGAUAGUUUUCAAAUGCAAGGAUGGUGGGUGUCGAAAAUUAGAUGAGGUGUACUACAUACCCGACUUAUGUAGCAACAUCAUUAGCCUGGGUCAAUUAGCAGAAGGAGGAGAUGAGAUAAAAAUCAAGGAUCUAUUCUUAUGGGUUCAUGAUUCAAUUGGAAAUUUGCUUAUGAAAAUGAGAAGAACAACAAAUAGACUCUACAAGAUAGAGUUAGAAGAAGCCACUGCAGUAUGCUUUGUUGCUGAAGCUGGUGACCAAACGUGGCUAUGGCACAAAUGGUUGGGACAUACAAACUUCACUUCAAUGAAGCAAAUGAAGGAUAAGAGACUGAUUGAAGGAAUGCCACAGAUCAAAAUUCCCUCACAACCUUGUGAAGGCUGCUUGGUGGGAAAGCAGACAAGGAACUCAUUUCCGUUUAAAACAAACUUCAAGGCACAUAAAAAGCUUGAGUUAAUCCAUGGUGACUUAUAUGGGCAAAUCUCCCCUCCAACACUUUCUUAAUCUCGAUUUCUUGCCUUAUGGUAGCACAGCUGCCCACCAUGUCUUCCAAGUCGUUAAGCAGCUCACCUUUUCUUAUCAAUGUACUUUCCAUUGAUCAAGGUCCUUGCCUUUUAUGCAUUCAAAUGAGAACUCAUAGGAUUCACAUGCAUAAUUAACUCGAUUCGAUUGGCAUAGAAACAAAAUAAUGUCAACACGAUAGGUUGUAAACCUCAACUCGUGUGCUAGUGAUGAUCGAUAAGGUUUAUUUGAUUUGUUCUUGAAACCUUUCAAGACCAUUAAGACUCCCACUGACUCCUUGACAUAUAAGAUUCUCUUGUCAACAACCAUUUCUUGACAAACAAAUAUUCAAGAGUUAGUGUAGCUUUUAUCAAACACUUCAUAAAUUGGUCCUAGUUGGUCUUUGUCUUAUCCAAUACAUCACAACUUUCCACAUUUGAUGAAUGUUAUAAACCUUCUUAAUACUUAUCACUCAAUUUCACAAUCUUAACUCUAAGACUUGUUUUUGGAACGAAGUAUGAUUGACUUCUUGAUUUAACCAUUUCUUCAAUUCUUGAUUCCUUUUCUUAGACAUACAAUUGUACUAAGACUCACUUAGAGGAUCAAUUGAGAUAUGGUUCUUAAUCAUUAAGACCCAUCAUAAAGCAUAAAAGGUACUCUCCGUUCUUCUUAGAAUGGAGAAACUUUUAUCUUUCUGCCUACUUGAUUCUUCUUAUUCGUUCUACUAUUGAUUUAAACCUUUUUUCAAUCAAUCUAGAAUUACACUUAAUCUUGUAAGUAUAAUCACAUUUACUCUUAUGGUGGACUUGAUCAACACGCAACUUUGUGUGCUCGAUCUCCUAGUCCUUCACUUGACACUUUGUCAAUGAAUUAGUCUAAUUUCCAAAUGUGAAAUUUCUCAUUCAUCGUGCAACCAAGUUGCAUGAUUCCAAGUUUCUGUCCAAUUGAAACUUGGGCGAUGAGAAACUCUCCCUAUUUGGUAAAUUCUCGACUUUCCAUAAAUAACAUAAUAAGAACCAAAUCCAUUAUUGCUAAUAAUAGAAACAUCCAAACAUCAAUUUUUCAUAUACGCCAUUGCAAGGAUAAAUAAAUAAUAUAAAAUCAAAAUUUAUUUUAUUGCGGAAAAAUUUUUGUCCUUACAAUGCAAUUCAUUGAAAAACUAUGCUAAUACAUCUUUCUUAGCAAUCUAAUUCUAACUCUAAGUAGUAGCUCAAGAAUCUAAUCUUCGAGAAAUGCGAUCGAAAUCCAUUCCUUCACGGUUAGAUUCUGCUCACUUCUUCCCUUAAGCUUCCUUUCUUUUCUUCGAUCCUACAAAACAUCAAUUGUAAUCUUAUCACAUUAUGUAUUAAGAAUCUAGAAUAGAAGCUUAAAAGAGUUAGUCAAUGGAUUUUACCUAAAGCAAAGCCAUACGUUUUGACUCUCCCAUCUCUUAGAUCUCUUAGGUAAAUAGGGCAGCUUCGUCUCCAAUGCCCUUUCUCUUGGCAAUAACAGCAAAUUGACUCUUUUGGAACAUGACAUGGAACUACUUCAGACAUUGCCUUUCUCUUAUGAUCAAACUUUUCGAUCAUAGCAUGUCUUUCGUUGCCAUUGUCUAUAUCCAUAGAGGUCUUGAAGGCAGAUUCACC